rnacentral:lncRNA from 1 species
CACACAGAGGUAUUUGCUGAUUGGUACUUUGAUCGAAAAUACACCUAUUUGAUUGAUGAAACUAAUGAGUUGCCACUCACAAAUAAUGCUCGACUCAUAUGGUCAUGGAAAGUUGACAAUGCAACUGCUCGAGUCAUAUACAAUACAACUCUCUAAUGUUCAUGUAAACUGUUUCUCAUAUAUAUAUAUAUACAUAUAUAAAGUUCCCUUUGACAAAAGUACUAAAAAGUUCUGGCCUCCAAUAUUGUGACAUAAGUUUUACUUAUCUAAUUGUUUACUUAUAAACUUAUUAGUUUAUGUAUUUUGCAUUUAUUCCAUCUAACUGUGUAACACCUUAUGUUGGGUUAGAAUUCGAACCGUCAUUCUUAUGUGUAUAGACUCGAACCCAAUAAUUUUUAUGUAAAUAUAAGUGGAUCAAUUCUAUAGUGUGGGAACAUCUUUGACGAUGAAUGGAGGUAAUAAAAAUCUCCUAACUCAAAGUUGAGUUGAAAACUUUUCUGCUGGUUGAGUUUUAGUGGACAUUCUUACUUGGAUGAACUUCCAAUGACUAUUACUCCUAUAAUAUAAUAAUUUAGGUGGCCUACUACAUACCAAAUGAAAUAUCUUCGAGUCUUCUUUCCAAUGCAUCUGAUUUUACCUUAAUCUGAUAUCAUAGUGGAAAGUUAUGCUUACUUUACCUAAGAAUGUCUGUCUGCCAAAGAUUGACAACAGGAGUUGACGAGCCGUCAACAAGUUGAUGGGCUGUCAACUGAAGCUUUCAACGUUAGGCAGUAAAGCUCAAAAUCUUUCAGAAGUUGACGACGGGAGUUGGCGGGCUGUUAACUAGUUGAGGGACUGUCAAUUAGUUGGCGAGCUAUCAACUGAAGUUGUCAACCUUAGUAAAGAUCAAAGAUGGAUAGAGAUUGGCGACAAGAGUUGACAAGCCAUCAACUAGUUUACGGGUUAUCAACUGAAAUUGUCAACUGCGAAAUUCCUAUAAUUUUUUUUAGUUUUUUUAGGGGUAUUUUUUUCUUUUUCUCACCUCAAACCCUACCCCACGACUUAAAUCACUCUAUAAGCAUUAUUUACUCAUCAGUUAUCAAUUUUUAAAUGUUCAAUAUCCUCUCCUCUCUUAAGAGAAAAGAAGAUAGGUUUUCUUUUUAAAAUUCAUAUUUCUAAGGCUCAGAUUCAAGGUGUCUCAAAUUUUGUUCAUCAAAAAGAAAGGUAAAACGAUCAUAAUACUCAUCAGCUUAACUAUGGUGUUUUCAUAUUCUAGAAAAUUAUAUUUAUAUACAUAUGCUAUGGAUUUUAAAAUUGUUGAAGAUUAUGAAUUACGAACCCCUUUUUAUGAUGAAAUUUAUGCAUUUAACUAGUGUUGUGAAAUAUUUAUUGAAUGAUGAAAAGGUUGAGUUUUAAAUGCUUCUUUAGCAAAUUAUAUAUUUUUUUUAUUUAUGUGGAUUCAAAGGAUGUUUCUUGUAUUUUUAAAUGCUCCUGUUUUCUCAAGGAGAGUGUAUGAAUCAUGAAAAGAUAACCACUUUUACCAGUUAUAAAAAUGUCUUUAAAGAAUGUGAUUUUACCUAAACUUGCUCAUGGAUUUUGUAAGAGAAUUCUUAUGUGAUAUCUGAAUUAAUAUGGUGGUCAAUGAUAUAUGUUUCGAAUGAAGGGCUAUGAGGAUGAUAUGAUAUGAUACAACUUGCAAGUCUAGAUAUGACGAUACCUUUUACGGGAUGCCCUUAAAAGAAUAUGAGAUGAACUUUUAUAAGAAUGAAACAUGAUUUUAAGAGGCUAAAUAUGGUCUUUAAGCGGGUUAGAUGGUUAACCGAGAAGUCAUGAGUUGAUAAUCUUACAACCCAAAAUAGUGUUUUCCUGACGCUGGAAUUAAUUCAGUCUUGAAAUAAGGAUGGGCCACGUAUACUUGCCUCGGGCAUUGGUAUACUAAAAUAGAAUGUAGAGACUCCAAUCCUUGUGGAAAACUUAGAUUUGAGGGCUUGGUCAAUGAGUUAAAGUCGAACAAUAUACCCCGUUGAUAGUAAAAAGGUCGAGAAUACCAUCUAGCUCUGAAUUAAAUAAAAAAGUUGAGUCUAUCUUUUUACGAGAUUGAUUGAAGCUUUUAAAUUAUUCCCAUGUAUUUUGAUUUCUAUUUUUGUUAAAUUAUUUUCACAACGCUCUUAUUUAUUUUGUAUAAAUUAUAUGUUGUUUUGGGGUUGUUAUACAUGCCAAUACAUUCCAAGUAUUGACCAUCCUCGGACGGCUACAUUGUUUCAAAAUAAAGGUUUUGAGGCUCAAUCCCACGGUCCAUCACAGUAGUAGAACCAUCUGAAGCAUCAGAGUUGGCGUGCCUCCAUCUUUUGAAAGGCGUUUUUUCAUGUGUUCAUGUCUUUUAGUUUAUGAUCCUACCAGUGGCCUUAUCCCGACCUAGACAGUUAUUCUUCAGUAGAAGCUUCGUAGACUAGACUUAGUUAACCUUUUUGUUAUGACCUUAUUGAUGGAGUUUUCUUAUAAGAUAUCUUGAACUUCAUUAUAUCUUCCGUAUUUCUCAUGAAUUAUGCUUAUGAUAGUAUGCUAUGGCAUCUCUCGGGCCUUUGUGGUUCGGGAUUCUCGUCACGAUCAACGCCACGACUCAAAUCCUGAAUACUUGGUAUCAGAGCACGAUUCAGAAUCUCAGGGUAUCUACAAAGCCGUGUCGAGUUGAUACAAGAAAAGAUACAAAAAUCUACAACACACACAAACGAGGGGGAAACAAGGGGAAACACGAGGUAACAAGUAAGAUAAAUAGAUAGAAAGACAGACACAAAAUGAUAUUCUAAAGGAAAAAUAAAAAGUAUAUCAAACCCUAAACCCCCUCUUAACGAUUACUACGAGCACCUAACUCUUAUGUAUACCUCAAUGGAAUCGGAUUUCUGAGCAAUCAAUAUUUUGAACCGAAGUAUCAACACAAGCUAGUCCAAGCUUGUAAUUCACUCAUAAAGAGCAUUCAUUCAUAAAUUAUCAAAAGUUGUAAAUGAAAUGACUAAGGCAUCUAUUUAUAGUGUUUGCCUUUGCAUAAAAUAGCUUGUUACAAAAUAUCCCAAAGUGGCUAUUUGGGAAAUAACCCACAAGGACUCUUCAAAGAAUCCUCCAAGCUCCAAGCAACUAUCCACACAUAGAAUUAUGGGUUUAGGAGAUUAAAGGGGGUCUACCAAGUUCAUUCUCGAGCUCGUUGCUUGACCGUGACUUGUACCUCUUUUUAUUGGCCUCGAUUGAUUUAAUCUAAAUCUUUAAGGCCCUUUGGAUUGUAUCAUCCCCCUUCUUGAAAAGGAUUCGUCCUCGAAUCCAAACCUUGCUAAAACAAAGGAAGGAUAAACAAACACGAUAUCCUCAAGCAUUAGGGUUAGAGUUAGCACAAUCAAUCAUAGCAUCAUGCCAAGCUUGCACACACUUAAGAUAUAACCAAGCAUCAAAAUAAUCAAUCAAGGGUUUAUAACCUAAAAUGGUAAGAACUACUUGGUCAUUCAAGAGCUUUAAACAAAAGGGUAUGUUAGAGGAACCAUUGUAGUGAAUCAACCGCUCAUGAAGGUUCACAUGGGUUCCAAAACUCAAUAAGCACCAAAACCUUCUAUGUUUCUCAUUUGUGUUGGAGAUCCUUCCGUUACACAAAAUUGGUCCCUCAAGUAGAUUAUAAAUCUCCAAGAAAGAAUUUCCAUCUUAGGGAUAAGUUCCAACACCCUCACCUAUGGUUGUCUUGUCUUCUUGCCCAAGCACCAAGUGGUAUGAAGAGGAACCACCAUAUUUCAAAUUAUCACUAGGAUCAAAUGGGUAAAGUGACCAUGGAUAUGAGUUUAGGAAACACUUCUUUUCCCCAUAUUACCACUAAUACAAUUAUUUAUACCCUCUAUACUAGCAUGAUCAUUAAAAAAGGCAAUUAGGGGGUUACUCCGACUUAAUCGACCAAUAUUUUCAGCAUCAUCAUUCACUUGAGGUCCUUUAAACACUUCACAAGCAUUCCUAAGAGAUGGGAUAGGUUCACACACAAGUUGGUCCUCAUGACUUCCACAAGACAAUAUACUAUCACUCAACACAAUGGCUUCAAUACUAGGUUGACAUAAAUUAAUCUUUCUAGAAGAGUUAAUUUUGUCAUUAUUAUGAUCAACUAGUGUAUCCAUACUCUCAAGUUGUACAUUAUCACAAUGAAGUAAAGAGACAUUAGACUUAUCUAAAUAUAAGCUAUCAUUCACAGUUAGUUGGCUUCUAACCUCAUUCACAAGAGUACAAGAGUUAGCUUUGUUACCUUGAAGUUCAAUUAGAGCAUGUCCACUCAAGGGAGAUUGAAGAUUUGGUGGAUUAGGAAGGGUGGAUUUAGGAAAUCUUAGACGAUCUAUCAUAUUGUCCAUAUUCCCUUAAAGAAAUCUUUCCCUGCUCUCCAUUCUUCCUUCAAGAGAUCUCAUUCGGCUAUCCAUGGCAUCAAACCUUCCCAUGAUUGAUCCAACCCAACUAGGAAUAUCACCUCCAUCCACCAUUGUGCCUAUUAAAAGAAAAACUAAACAAAAAAACAAAAAUAAUAAACAAGUUAAUUUUAGGAAAACAACCUCACAAGCUCUCAAGGUUCACCUUUGAUUUCCACUCAAUUGGAGUUGCAAGUGUUGAUAGCUCCUUUUUACUCUAAUGAUAUUACUUGGUAUUGAUUAUGGCUUGAGGUUAGAAUGGAUUCUUAUUUGAAGGACUCAAAUAAAUAAAAAUUAUGUACGGACUUGAAUAAAAACUAACAAUGAAAUGAAAAGAGAAAAGCUAGAAAGAAAUAGGAAAAUGAAAGAAGCGGACUCUAAAACUAAUUCACAACUAAGUAGGAUGAUUACUACUUCUUAAUUAGUGUUUGGAAUCAAAUAAAAGAAGUUAAAGAAUCAAUAAAAGAAACUAAGAAUCUAAAAUUGCGCUUAAGAUAAUUUGACGAUUUGAAUUGAUGUUGCUGCCUCCAAGUGACGACUAAGGUGGGUGGGUCAUCACUUGACUGACGCCUAAGGUUGAAAACAAGGGGAAGUCGUCAUACUUAGGUAGUGAUUGUGAUGACUUGGCCUCCUUUAGCUGCCGACUUAUCACUAAAGUGAUGAAUAUGGGCUAGUUAUCAACCUUAGGCAGUGGGGUUGAUGACUUAUUGUGAUUGAUUGUCACUUGGGAUAGUCAUCACCCUUAACCAGUAGGGUUGACAACUUGUUGUGGUGGCUUGCAUUUGAGUUGAUGACUAGAGGUGACGACAAGGGAUAGUCGUCACCCUUAAACAGUAUGCGUCUAAGUCUCUAAUCAUGCAAUAUCAAGGUGUGGAGGGUAUUCAAAUGUUUUUCUCAACUUUUGGAUCAUCUUGAUAGAUUCUUGGAGAUUAUUGAAGGCCUUGAUCACGUCAGUAAUGAAUCAAUCUACACUUGAAAGCCUUGAAUUCUUUGUGGUCCCCUCCUUUGUACUCACUGUUAUUUUCUUCCUUAGGAAUAUUCCUUUUUUAUGCCAAUUGAUCCUUUCCUCUUUUUGGAAGACUUGAAAUAUUCUUUGGAACAAACAAGUACAACACCUUCUCUUACCUUCCUUUAGGAUAAAACACUCGCUUUUUGAAUGUUCUUUUUCAAUAACAUAUGACGAACACCAAGAACAUUUAAAAUUAACCCUUAAGAAAAUGACAUCGAAAUUCGAUGAAAUUCAAACCCCAAGCUCACGUUAAUAAUCUAAGAACAAUACCAACAUUUUCAAGCCCAAAAUCUCAACAACAAAUCACCAAUUUGAGAACCCACCUCAAAUUUUCUUCAAACUCAAGCUUUAACAAUGGUAGGUCACUCAACUCAACUCCAAUUUAGCUCAAAUUUUAGAUCUCAACUUAAAUAGUGUUAGGGAACAAGGAUCUAACAAUAAAAACAUAAAAUGACACAAAAAUCAAAAACUUAAUUUUUUGGCCUAGGGGUAAAAUGGGAAUAAAAUGUUUCCAUUGUGAUUUUUGAAUUUCAACACAAAUAGACCCAACAUUGACUUAGUGGAAAUAAAAUCAGGCUCUGAUCUAAUACAAAAUAAUAUGAGACAAGAUAAGAAAAGCGAAAACAUACACAAACGAGGGGGAAAAUAUGGGGAGAUUCAAGAUAACAAGGUAAAGAGAUAGAAAGAUAGACACAAAAUGAUAUCAAAAGGGAAAAUAAAGAGUAUAUCAAACCCUAAACCCUCCCUUAAAUAUUACCAUGAGAACCUAACUCUUACGUACACCUCAAUGGAAUCAAAUUCCUGAGCAACCCACAUUUCGAAUUGAAGUAUCGACACAAGUUAAUCCAAGCUUGUAAUUCACUCAUAAAGAGCAUUCAUUCAUAAAUCAUAAAAAGUUAUAAAUGAAAUGACUAAGGCAUUUAUUUAUAGUGAUUGUCUUUGCAUAAAAUAGCCUAUUGGAAAAAUAGCCCAAAAGUGGCUAUUUGAGAAAUAACCCACAAGGGCUUUUCAAAGCAUCCUCCAAGUUCCAAGCAAUUAUCCACAUAUGGAAUUGUGAUUUUAGGAGCUUAAAAAGGGCCUACCAAGUGCAUCCUCGUGCUCUUUACUUGACCAUGGAUUGGACCUCUUUGUAUUGGCCUCGAAUGAUGUAACCAAAAGCAUUAAGGUCCCUUUGGAUUAUAUCAUGAAUAGAGUCCCUUGUAUGGGUGUGUAGCAUGCCACACUUAUAGGAGGGAGGCUAUGAGGCAUUUUUGAAAUAUUUCUCAUUCUUUCAUACUCUAGAUCAUGCAAUAGUGUUAUCCAUGUGAAAGUUAUCCAAACUUCUUCCUUGCUCUAAUUUUGUAGGCUAUGCCUCAUUGUCGAGGUGACAAAAGUGCAAAAGCUUAGAUUCCAAAUGAUGUGAUCCCCUCUACUAAGUCAUCGAAAAGUUAGGAAACCACAUAAGUUCUUGAAAUGAGUUCUUUAGUGCAUCAAAGUUUAUAAAUUCAAGGUAUACCUCUAUCUUCAUGAAUUGUGCAUUUUAGCUUGAGUUAAGAGGCGUAUUAAAUCCCUUUCAGAAACUUUAUUACAGACAUAUCUCUUAAGGAGAAAGAUGUGUAUCUAAAUAUUGGGAUAGUAUUUCCAUCCAAAAGGUUGUAUAAAUUGGGGUAUUAUGACUUAUGAAUAGUAAGAUGAUCUCAAGGUUAGUGAUAUGAAGUCAUAAGUUUAAAAGCCAGAGUGAGGGUAAUUUUUGAGUAAAAAAGGUAGUAAUAUUAGUGUAAACAUUAAGUAAGUGUUGGAGGUGGUAUGUUCUUAUGGUGAUUGGCUAUGGAUGUAGAAAGACUUGUAGGUUUUAUUUUAGUUAGGAGAGAAAGUGAUUAGUUAUGAUGAUUUAGAAUUUAUUUGAAAUAGGAAAGGAUCUUAUGAUGGAUAGUUAUUAUAGUAGUAAAAAACUAAUCAUAGGUUGUGAAUGAAAGAAUAGACUGACUAAUAAUUUAUCAAUUUAUACUUUAAUUGGGGAAAUCUUAGGGAAAUAGGGACUUAGUGAUACAUAGAAUUUUGAAGGUAGUUUAAAGGUAUGCCUGGAUAAGUAGAUUUAAUGUGAGGAAGGAGACUAUGCUCAUAGAACGUAAUGAGUUAUGUUAAUAUUAAGAUAGACUAUCCUAAUUAUGUGGUCUUACUACAUUAAGAGUCUUUUGAUUUUUUUUUAUCUAGAAGUUGAAAAAUAGUCUAGUAGGUGAGAAGAUAUAUUGUAAAUUUUAUGGUGUAGCAUUAAUAUUGUGAAGAAGAUGUGGUUAUAGGUCGUAGUUAAGUGAAAUAUGGAAUUCAGAUUGAUCAAUUUGUCAUAAAUUUUGAUGGACUAGUACAAUAUGUGGGAUAUUUCUUUGGCAAUUCAUGAUUGGUAAUAGUUGUUAAGCUUGAACUUUAGAUGUUGAUUGUGGUGAUAAGAAUGUUAGCUCGAGGAUAGUAAUACGGAUUUAUGGGAGUAAAUUAGUGCUUGAUUUGAUGUAUGAAAGAGCAUAGGUAGAUAACUUAUGAAAAAUUUAAGCGGGUAAUUGUGAUGUAUAUACAUAAGGAACAGUGUUGAAAUAAUGACUUGUGGCUAAGUAAUUAGGUAGAUAAGAGUGUUGGGUUUAUAAAGAUAAGUUAAACCCCGGGUAACAUGUUGUUGGAUGAGAUUUUAAGUGUAUAAGUGUCAUAUGUACCUAGUUCAUGUUCUCGAAGUUCUUAGUAUGGAGAAGUCUAGGGAGUUGUUAUAUGGCGUUCUUUAGAGCUGAGUUGAGGGAAGUAUAUAUAGAUGAUGUGAGCUCUUGGUAUAGUUUUUAAAUUUUGUUAAAUUAUUUGGUUAUGCGAUUAGAGGUUUAAUGCUAGUAUAUUAAGGAGUGGAGUGUGGAUUGUUACAUGUUAAGCAGUACGUAUGUGUAUGCUCUUGAGGAUGUAAAUUAUAGGGUGAUGAAUAUUGACCUGUAAUACACUGUAUUAGCCUUAUCUCAAUUAUCUCCCAAUGUAUGUUUAAGAGGCUUAGAACCUGAAAAUUUAGCUAAGUAUUGGAGACCUAGUUUCAUUUUUGACCCCUAAACUUCGAUGAUCUUAUUCUCAAUGUUCUCGACCCCAAAAAAUUGGUCUCUAAUUGAAUUCAUGACUAGGGUUGUCGAUAGUUCAUCUCGGGUGAGUUUUGGGUUUUUCGAACGAUAUUUGGGGCAUGUUUGGAUGGCCAAACCAGUGGACCAACGUGAUAUGGCCACAUCGCAUCGGCUAUUGUAUUGGAAGAAGCAACACAGAGCGUCGUUUAUCGCGUCGGGUUGAGCAACGCAGUGGGUCGCCAAAUACGUUGGGGCCCAAUUUGGUUUAAACAAAUUACGGGUCCAGAGGGUAUUUGGGUCUUUUCCCCUAUUUUAAUUCAGCCAAAACAUGGGAUUUAGGUCCCAAAGCAACAAUUUUGCCUCAUAUUUCAUAAUUUCCUCAAAUUGAAAUCAUUCUCUCUCAAGAACAUAACCUUAGACCCUUCAACCUUUAAGAUCAAUUAUCAAGAAAUCCACCAAGAAUUUCCAAGAAUUCUUCAAUUAAGGUAUAUAGGUGUUCAUCCUUGGGUCCUUUUCACCCUUGGAUCCCAAACACCACUUUUUAAACUUAGUUAUGAGUUUUACAUGAUUAAAUUGAUUUAUGUCCAUAAAUAUAUUGUUAUUUUGAUUCAAGUUAAGAAUAUAUGUGUGUUCAAGUAGAAUGAGCUAAUACAUUUUUUGAAUGAUGUAAAUCUUACGUCAAAUCCCUAAGUUGUGAAUUGAAUAGUAUAGUCGUGAUAUUUUCUCAUGUUGCUCAUUCCCAUGUAAAAUUUCAUGCCACACAUGUUUUUGAUAAAAUGUCUAGAUGAAUGAGUUCUGAACAAUGACUACUUAUUUAUGUUUCUAAAGUUGUAGUAUGGUCCCAUUGCAAAUGCUAUCGAGUCCUAGGGUUAUGAAUACCCAAAAUUUAUCUGUUUACUUAGUUUUUAGAAUAUACAGUAUGAAUUCAGUUAUACCUUGAGCAAUAUCUUUCUUUCAAGUUAGCAUGGUUAGUUGUGUAUUCAGUUAAGCCUAGUCCAGUCUAAUAAUCAGUGUCAGUUUAGUUGAGAGUAGAAUUUAGCACCGAGCGAACCAAGGGAUAGGGGUAUUCCUAUCAGGUUAGGGUUUGACCUUUAGUAGCAAUCCCUGAGUUACAAAACUAUAUAGCCAGCGUUGGUUGAGAUGUAUUCCUAUCAGUUAGGGUUAACAUAUCUCCUGAGUACUCCUUCCAGAUUAGGGUGAAUAAUGUGUCUUUUUGGAGAUUAGUUUAGUGGAUCCACAAAACCAUUGUUAUUACCCAUGGCACGAUAUUGACAGCCUUCGAACUGGGGUUACAAGUUGGACCCCGAUUAGCUCAUAUUGGGGCAUGCCGGUUAGAUGAUACCUCCUACAGUCUCAGUUUAGUAUUCACAUAUCAGUACUAGUUACUCAUAUAUCAGUAUUCUAAUGCUUCUGUUUACAGAUUAUCUCAGCGUCAUAUUCUAUGCUUGGUCAUGUAUUUUCAGACUUCCUAGUUUUCAUGCAUUCAUAUUCAGUCAUCUUAUGUCAUUUCAUUAUUACCUUAUGCUUAUGACCCAUGCAUUUCAGCCUUACCUCAUCUAGCAUACUAGUACAUUUAAAGUACUGAUCACAUAUUUAUUUCUUACGCUAUGAUGUCUUAUAUCAUAGGUUCGGACGCUCAGGUUACCUACCGUAUUUAGACUUUUUAGUGCAUCAGUAGUAGCAGUAGGGGGGAGUCCUCAUCCUUCGAGGACGAGUUAUCUUAUAUUUAGUUAUAUCAGUAGUUCAGUUGUUUAGUCAGCUAGAUUUAGUUGAGGGCUUAUCCCAUCAACUCCACAGUCAAUCAAUUUAGAGGCUUUCAAACUAGUAUAGACAGUUGGUCAGUUUUUGGUUGUUUUUAUCAGUAUUGCUAGCAUGCUUUCAGAGAUUUAAAAAUAUGAUUUAGUUGUUAAAACUUAUGGAAUUUCUAGUUAAAUUCCGCACGUUUUUAUUAUUAUUUUUUAGUGAUUACAGCAGGUAUCAGUUCUUGGGUUAGCUCGUCGUCUUUCGGGGCCGUACGCACCACUGGCAUCCAUGGUGCAUUCCCAGGGUGUUACAAACUUGGUAUCAGAGCCUAAGAUCUUAAGUGUCCUUGGGAGUAUGAAAGUUGUGUCGAGUAGAGUCUUAUGCAUGAGUGUGUAGCGUGCCACACUUAUGGACAAGAGGCUACAAGAAGGUUUAGGAAAAGUUUCCCUUCUUUUAGUAUUCAUGUCGUACGAAUGAGCAUAUGCUCAAAUUAAACUCUCUAUCUAAUUCAAAUCUUCCUUCCAUUUAUAGAAUAUGUCUCCCAGAAAGACUAACAGAAGAAGAAAUAGAAACCAGCCAGCACCUUCGCCCAUUCAGGAAGAUCCCCUGAAUGAGCAUGUUUCUCAUACAGAAUUCAGAGCUAUAUUCAUCACUCUAUCCCACUCUAUAGCAACUCAAAAUGUUCAUCCAGUUAAUUUUUAGGACAAACCAAUGGCCAAUACUACCACAACUAGGAUUUGGGGCUUUACCCGAAUGAAUUCUCUUUCAUUUUUAGGAUCCAAGUCUGAAGAGAAUCCACAGGAUUUCCUCGAAAUAGUGCAAAAGGUAACAGACAUUAUAAAGGUAACUUCUAGUGAGUGUGAUGAAUUGUCUGCUUACCAACUAGAGGAUGUAGCUCACACCUAGUUUAAACAAUGGAAAGGGGAUAGAGGUAUAGAUGCAGGGCCUAUAGAAUGGGAGGAGUUUGCUUCAGCCUUCUUAGAUAGAUUUUUCCCUUUGGAGUUAAGGGAAGCCAAGGUGCAAGAGUUCAUAAAUUUGAAACAAGGCAACAUGAGUGUGAAGGAGUAUUCCAUCAAAUUUACCCAGCUAUCUAGGUAUGCUCCUAAUGUAGUGUCUGAUAACAGGUCUAGAAUGAGUAAGUUUGUUUCUGGUAUGGCAGAUAAUAUGGUCAAGGAGUGUAGGAAUGUGAUGUUGAUUAAGAAAAUGUACUUGUCUAGGUUAAUGGUCCAUGCUCAGCAAAUUAAGGAGUAGAAGGCUAAGGAGAAAGAAAAAGAGAAUAAGAGGGCUAGGAUAAGUUGUUUUAACUUUGCUCAGCCGAGGUCGAAGGGUGUUAACCUUCCUUAAUUCCAUCAAAAAUCUUUAACUCCAGCCUCGUCCUCAACUAGUGCGCCUACACCAAAGUUCAAAAAUGAUAACCACACUAGAACGCCAGGCUCUAAUACUCAAGGUAGUAUAAACAGUGGUCGUACAAGUCCCGUUUGUUAGAAAUAUGGUAGAAACCAUUAGGGAAUGUGCAGAUCUGGCAAUUAUGUAUGUUUUUUGGUUGGCAAUCCAGGCCACAGAGUUAGAAAAUGUAAUUUGGCCAGCCCGCAAAGUCAAUACAGUCUUCCUCUAGUUUAAACCAGUCACUCGACUCAGCAGGGUGCCACUUCCAGUGCCACCAGUGGGUAGUGCCACCAGUGGGUAGCACCUAAACAGGCUAUAUGUACUUCUGUCCCGAUAGGAUCAUGAGAGUUAUCCUGAUGUGGUUAUGGGUACAUUAUAAGUCUUUUAUUUACAUGUUUAUGCUUUACUAGAUCUUGGAGCUUCUCUUUAUUUUAUAACCCCUUAUAUAACUGUCAACUUCAGGGUCAGUACCAAAACCUUAAUCAAUAUUUUCUCAGUAUCAACCUCAGUGGGUAAGUCCAUCAUAGCCCGACGGGUAUGCAGGAACUGCUUGGUUACGGUGUCUCAAAAAGUUACUUCAGUAGACCUUGUAGAGUUAGAGAUAAUGGAUUUUUAUGUCAUUCUUGGCAUGGAUUGGCUCUAUUUAUGCUAUUCUACAGUGGUUUUUAGGAACAAAGUUGUCUAUUUCCAGUUCUCAAAUGAAUGUCUUUGAAUGGAGGGGAGUACUAUAACGCUUAGGGGUCAACUUUUUUCAUAUCUUAGAGCAAGAAAAAUGAUAUCCAAAGUUUGUGUCUACCAUCUUGUACGAGUCAAAUAAUUUAGUUCUGAAGCUCCUAAUCUUGAUUCAGUUCCAGUAGCAAGGGAAUUUCCAGAUGUGUUCCCUGAAGACCUUCCCGAAAUUUCUCCCAAAAGGGAAUUCAAUUUGGGAUACACCUUCUUCCAGAUACCCAACCUAUCUCUAUUCCGCUGUAUAGAAUGGCUCCAAGAUAACUCAAAGAUCUAAAAGAAUAGUUAAAGGACCUCCUAUAUAAGGGAUUCAUUAGGCCAGUGUUUCCCUAUGAGGCACUACAGUCCUUUUUGUGCGAAAGAAAGAUGGUUCUCUUAGAAUAAAUAUGCACUCCCUAGAAUUGACGACUUGUUCUACCAACUUCAGGGUGCCAGUUACUUUUCUAAGAUAGAUCUCAGAUCCAUCUAUCACCAGCUCAGAGUCAGAGAAUGUGAUAUUCCAAAAAUAUCCUUAGAAACUCGGUAUGGUCACUUCAAGUUUCUAGUUAUGUAUUUUGGUCUCACAAAUGCCCCAACAACCUUUAUGGACUUGAUGAACUGAGUGUUCAAACAAUACUUGUACAUGUUCAUCAUAGUCUUCAUCGAUGACAUUUUUGUCUACUUUCAUAACAAAAAUGAUCAUGCAGACUAUCUCAAAAUUAUAUUGCAAACUCUUAGAGCCCAUCAGUUGUUCACCAAAUUUAGUAAGUGCAAAUUUUGUCUAAGUUCAGUAGCUUUUUUUGGCCAUAUUAUUUCCUGUGAUGGCACUAGAGUUGAUUUUCAAAAUAUCGAAGUUGUGAGAAACUAUCCCAGACCCAUCUCUUCUUCAGAUAUUAGGAGUUUCUUGGGUUUGGCUAGUUCUUACCGAUGGUUUGUUGAAGAAUUUUCAUCUAUUGCAUCCCUCAUGUCCAGAUUGACUUUGAAGAAAGUUAAGUUUUAGUGGUCAGAUUCUUGUGAGAAGAGUUUUUUGUCAGGAGUUAAAGACUCGACUACCACAACUCCAGUUUUGAUACUUCCAGAUGGUUCAUUCGGCUUUUAUUUGUACAGUGAUGCUUUUAGAGUUGGUUCGGGGUAUGUUUUGAUAGAUAAGAGUAAGGUCAUAGCCUAUGCCUCUGGACAUGUUAAGGCCCAUAAGAAGAAUUACCCUACCUAUGAUCUUGAGUUAGCAACUAUUGUGUCUGCCAUGAAUAUUUGGAGGCACUAUUUGUAUGGGGUGAAUGUAGAUGUGUUCACGGAUCACAAAAUCUUGCAGUACGUGUUCUCGCAGAAAAAUUUAAAUCUUCAUCAGAGAAGGUGGUUAGAAUUGCUAACAGACUAAGCCAUAAGUAUUUUGUAUCAUUCGAGAAAGUCCAAUGUAGUGGUGGAUACCCUCAGUAGAUUGUCUAUGGGUAGUGUUGCUCACGUUAAGAAUGAUAUAAAGAAGUUAAUUCAGGAGGUUCAUCAGCUCACCAGAUUAGGUGUUCACUUGAUAGAUUAAUCUGAGGGUAGUGUAUGGGUGCAAAAUAGUUUGAUAUCAUCUUUGGUUGCUGAAGUGAUAGAAAAACAUGAUAUAGAUUCAAGUUUGGCUGGAUUGAAAAAGUCUAUUAGAGAUCAGAAAGUAGAGGUUUUCUCUCAAGGGGGAGAUGGUGCGUUGCAUUGUCAGAGUAGACUAUGUGUGCCGUGUGUAGAUGAUUUGAGAGAGCAGAUUUUGUUGAAGCAAUGGUGUGUGUUACUCUAUUCAUCCAGGGUCCACUAAGAUGUACCACGAUUUGUGGGAAAUGUAUUGGUGGAGUAGGAUGAAGAGGGACAUUGUAGAGUUUGUAGCUAAGUGCUCUACGUGUCAACAGGUUAAGUUUGAACACCAAACGCCUAGUUUUUCUAUACAAGAGUUUAAUAUUCCCACUUGCAAGUGGGAGGAAGUGAACAUAGACUUUGUGAUUUGUUUGUCUCGUACUUGUUGUCAGCAUGAUUCGAUUUGGAUCAUUGUGGAAAGGAUGACCAAAUCACCCAAUUUCUUGCUAGUCCAUACUUUUUAUUCAACUGAGGACUAUGUAAAGCUCUAUAUUAGAGAGCUAGUUAGGUUGCACGGUAUUCCGUUAUCCAUCAUUUCUAUCGGGUACUCAGUUUACCUCUCACUUUUGGAAAGCUUUCUAGAAAGGUCUGGGUACCUAAGUUCACCUUAGUAUAGCCUUUCAACCUCAAAUAGUUGUUCAGGUAGAGAGGACUAUUCAUACCCUAGAGGAUACAUUAAGAGCAUAUGUCAUCGACUUUAAGGGUAGUUGGGAUGAUCACUUACCUUUGAUUGAGUUCGCGUAUUAUAACAAUUAUUAUUCCAGUAUUCAGAUGGCUCCGUGUGAGGCUUUUUAUGGGAGAAGAUGUCGAUAUCUAAUUGGUUGGUUUGAGGUAGGUGAGACUACUUUGGUAGGGACUGACUCGGUGUUUGAUGCUUUAGAGAAAGUCCAGUUGAUCAGGGAGAGUCUUAAGACAACCCCACGCUGACAGAAAUCCUAUGCAGAUGUGAGAAGAAGAGACCCUGAGUUUGAGGUUGACGACUUAGUUUACUUAAAAAUCUCUCCCAUGAAGGGAGUAAAGAGGUUUGGUAAGAAAGGAAAGUGUAGUAUCUGAUAUGUUGGACCUUAUAGAAUCCUAAGUCGCUUUGCAAAGGUAGCCUAUGCGCUUGAGUUGCCUGAAUACUUAGCAUCAAUGCACCCAGUAUUUCAAGUCUUAUUGCUAAAGAGGUAUAUUGGAGACCCAACUAUUGUGGUCCCCUUAGAAAACGUAGAUGUUCAGAACAGUCUCUCUUACGAAGAAAUUUAAGUCAAAAUCCUUGAUCGCUAGAUUCAUACGCUAAGGAACAAAAAAGUUCCCUUGGUCAAAGUUCUUUGUCGGAACCAGUCCGUUGAUGGAGCCACUUGGGAAGAAGAAGUAUUUAUUCGAACUAAGUACCCUCAUCUCUUCUCUGCAAACUCAGACUUAGUUUAAGGUAACAGUUUCCCUCAGAUUUCCCCUUUUUCCAUACUCAGUUUCAGUUGCACGUCAUCCUUAUGUCACUCAUGCAUUUAUGAAAACAGUUCAGCCAUGUAUCAUGUUUCAGACUCAGUUAGGCAACCAUACUUUCAGUAUGCAUAAUUAGCAUGUAAUCUCUUGUACCUCAGUAUUCUUAGCUUAAUUAGUCUCAUUUGAGGAUGAAUGUUCACAAGGGGAAGAUAUUGUAAUACCCCAUAUUAGCCUUAACUCAAUUUAACUCCAAGUGUAUGUGUAAGAGACUUAGAGCUUGAAAAUUUAGCUUAGUGUUGGAGAAUUAGUCUCAUUUUUUACCCCUAACCUUUGAUGAUUUUAUUCUCGACCUUCCCGACCCUAAAAAGUUGGUUUCUAAAUUAAUUCAUUUCCAGGGGUAUCGAUAGUUCAUCUCGAGUGAGUUUUGUUUUUAUGGACGAUGUUUGGGGAAUGUUUGGAUAGCCAAAGCAGUGGACCAACAUGAUAUAGUCGUGUCCCAUCGGCUACCACAUUGGCAACAAUAAUACAGUAUAUUACAUUGGGUUGCAUCACCAAAUGCGUCGGGAUCCAGUUCAGUUUAAAUAAAUUUCGGGUCCUGAGGGUUAUUUGGGUAUCCCCCCCCCCCCCCCCCUUUUAAUUCAACUAAAACAUAGUAUUUAGGUCCCAAAACAACAAUUUUGCCUUAUAUUUUAUAAUUCCCAAAACUAAAAUCAUUCUCUCCCAAGAACAAAACCCUAGCCCCUUUAACAUUCAAGAGAAAUUCUCAAGAAAUCCACCAAGAACUUCCAAGAAUUCUUCGAUCAAGGUAUGUUAGGUGUUCAUCCUUGGGUCCUUUUCACCUUUGGAGCCCAAGCACCACAUUUUAAACUUAAGUUAUUAGUUUCACGUGAUUAAAUUGAUUUAUGUCCAUGAAUAUUUUUUUAUGAUGAUUUCGCGUUAAGAAUAUAUGUGUGAUAAAGUAGAAUAAACUAAUACAUAUUUUGAAUGAUGUCGAAUCUCUAAGUUGUGAAUUGAAUAUUAUAGUCAUGGUAUUUUCUCAUGUUGCUCAUUCCCAUGUAAAAGUUCAUGCCUCCCAUGUGUUUAGUAAAAUGUCUAGAUGAAUGAGUUCUGAACAAUGACUACUUAUUAUGUUUCUAAAGUUGUAGUAUGGUCCCAUUGUCAAUGCUAUUAAGUCCAAGGGGAUAUUAAUACCCCAAAUUUAGUUAUUUACUUAAUUUUCAGAUUUUAUAGUAUGAAUUCAGUUAUACCAUGAGCAAUAUCUUUUAGUCAAGUUAGCAUAGUCAAUUGUGUAUUCAGUUAAGCCUAGUCCAGUCUAAUGAUUAGUGUCAGUUCAGUUGGGAGUAUGAUUCAGCACCGAGUGAACCCAGGGAUGUGGGCAUUACUGUUAGGUUAUGGUUUGACCCUUAGUAGCAAUUCCUGAGUUACAAAACUACGUAACCAGCGUAGGUUGAGAUGUCUUCCUGUCAAUUAGGGCUGACACAUAUAUCCUGAGUACUCCUAUCAUAUUAUGGUGACUCAUAUGUUUUUUAGAACGUUAGUGUAGUAGAUCCACACAUCCAUUGUUAGUACCUGUGGCACGGUAUUAACACCCUUCCAAUUGGGGUUACAAGUUGGACUCCAAUCAGCUCAUAUUGGGGUAUGUUGGUUAGAUGAUGCCUCCCACAAUCUCAAUUUAAUAUUUAGUAGAGUCAGUUCAGGUUUGUGGGGCAUGUCAGUUAGAUGUCUUAUCUCAUAGGUUCGCACACUUAGGUUCCCGACCAUACUUAGAUUUUCCAGUGUAUCAGAAGCAGCAGUAGGGGUGAUUCUUCGUCCUUUGAGGAUGAGUUAUCUUAUAUUUAGUUAUGUCAGUAGUUCAGUUAUUUAGUCAGUCGAAGUUGGUAAGGGGUUUGUCCCAUCAAUUCUACAGUCAGUAAAUUAGAGGCUUCCAGACUACUACAGAAAGUAGGUCAGUUUUCGGUUGUUUUUAUCAGUAUUACUAGCAUUUUUCAGACCUUUAAAACUAUGAUUUACUAUUGAUUUUAGUUGUUAAACCUUAUGGCAUUUCUAGUUAAAUUCGGCACGUCUUUGUCCUUAUUUUUCAGUGCUCACAGUAGGUACUAGUUCAUGAGUUAGCUUGUGGUCUCUCGGGGCCAUAUAUACCAUGUGGCUUCCAGGGUGCAUUCCCAGGGCAUUACAAGAACCUUUCAAAAUCAUAAAGACUUGAAUUCCCUUGAAGGGGUAUCCUAAAUAGAACUUAGUGUCCUCAUAUUAUAGUUAUCAAAGGGAGUUUAACACUCAUUUAUAUAGUGAUACCCCUUUGUUAUGAGUAUCGUGCUUAUAGAUUUAAUGAAAAAGUAUGUCCACAAGUCUAGUGUAGCGACCUUUGAGCUAAGGCGGAGAUGAUGAACUAAGAAAAGUCUUGAAUUUUCUCAUGGUGGUGAUAAAUCUAUUCUUAUCCUAGUAAAUUCCUCCUACUUCAAUUUAAAAGGACAUUCUACCAAUGUCUUAUGUAUCCAAAUUGUGUCUAUGCCUAAGGUCCAAGUUCUCUAUGCAACUUAUUUCCAUGCUCCAACCCCUGAACUAGAAGCAAUAAUGUUUCUCAGCACUUCAUGCUUCCAAGUAUUCAAGUUCUAUGUUAUGACACUCAUGAUUCGUAAACCCAUAUCUCAUUUUAUACUUAGUUCCAAGAAGCUAUUCUCUCUAUACGUUACUGACUCAUUGUAUGUCAUUUCUUAGCCCAAAGUGAUGUUUCCUAUGCAAACUAAUAACCAUUCUCAGUUCUUAGAUGAAAAGUAAUAGCUUCAAGUGACACUACUUGUCUUAUUCCUUUAAAAUAUGAAUAUCGUCUUUAUGUUAUAUGACUCAUGAUAUAUGUACUCAUAUUUCUCACUGUACCCAGUCCUAAGAACCCAUGCUAGCUUAUGAUUAUGCCUAAAUUACCCUCUACUUAUGAUCUAGGUGUUUACUAUGAAGUAUUUCGUUCCUAGUAUACCAUAUCUCACUUCGCAUGUCUCACCUUGAGCAGUAUGAUAAAUUGGAUUCAUAAUUGAGAAGUAUCACCCUCAUUCUAGAUUCUUGUACUCUAGUCCCUCAAUGACACUCCUUAUGUUAAGAUGAUAAUGAUUAUUAAAGCUUAGUAAUGUUUUAGAUAAGGGAGUAAAUAUUUUUUAAUGUGAAAAUUGUAGUGUGACUACUCGAGCUAAGAUUAUAGAUGAAGAAGGGUAAAGUGAGAUGAACUUUCAUUAUAUGAUAUAGAUAGGAAGUGGAGAUGUGGUGAAAAUCAUUGUGAUUGUGAUUAAAGUUUUUGAUUUUUGGUGGGGAAAUCUAGAAAGUGGGUGUGGUAAAGACAGGCUUUAAUGUUGUGAUUAAUAGAUACACUACCCAUUGUGUUAUAUAGCUAGUACUCCUUGAUUAAGACCCGAGGGUGUUUGAUUAUAGUGAUAAUACAGAGUAGUAUUUUUUUAGGAGUGUAGAUUAUAAUGUCCCAUAGCUAAUAUAACUCCUUUUAACUCUGAAUUAGGUAUCAACAUGGGAGAAAUAUGUAGUUAGACUUAGGAUCUUGUAGUUAUGUGUUUCGUAGAGGAAUUACAAGAUUGAAAUGGUAAGUGUGGUAUUCAUAGCUGAAAGCAUUAUUGAGAAGAGUCACUAAAUUUAUGGGCUAUUAGACAUAUCAUUUGAGGUGGAGAAUACUUCUAUUCUUGUGUCCCUCGAAAAUUUUAUUUUAUGUCAAGCUUCCAUAUAAAUCAGGACCUAUGAUCACAAAAUCAAUUUAUGCCUUACGUUGUUAUGAUCAUGUUCUAUAAAAAUCAGGUCCAAUCUCAUCUAUGUGUCAAGUCUUGUUAAUUCAUGGUUCGUUCUUACACAAUUUACUUGCCAUUGUCAUGAAGAUUUUUUUGAUGCUUUGUAUGUCUUGUUGAAGGAGAAUUCCAAAUGCGAAGUUACAUCCUUUAUUCCAUACUUUUAGAGCUUCAAUAAGUUCCUACCUAUCAUUCAAGGAUGAAUGAUUCCAAGAGGGAGAUAAUGUAACACCCCAUAUUUUUAGGCUAAAUUUGAGCUAUCAUUCUACUUGUAUAUACCAAAAACCAAUGAUUUUUAUGUUAAUAUUAAUGUGAUGAUCAAUUCUAUAGUGUGGUAACAUCUCUGGAGAUGAAUUAAGGUCAUAAAAAUCUCGUAACUCAAAGUUGAGUUGAGAACAUUUCUGUCAAUUGAGUUUUAGUAGACGUUCCUACAUGGGUUAACUUUCAAUGAACAUUACUCCUAGAAUAAAGCUAUUUAGGAGGCCUAUUAUAUUCCAAAUGAAAUAUCUUCAAAUCUUUUUUUCAAUACAUCUGAUUUCACCUUAAUUUAAUAUUAGAGUAGAAAGUUAUGCUCAUUUUACAUGAGAAUGUAUGUCUACCAAAGAUUGACGAUGGGAAUUGACGAGCAGUAAACUAGUUGAUGGGAUGUCAACUGAAGUAGUCAACCUUAGGUAGUAAAGCUCAAAUUCUGUGAGAAGUUGGCAACUGGAGUUGAUGAGCUGUCAACUAGUUGACGGGAUGUUAAUUGAAGUCGUCAACCUUAACUAGUAAAGAGCAAAGAUGGCUAGAGAUUGGUGAUAGGAGUUGACAAGCCAUCAACUAGUUGACGGGCUAUCAACUGAAGUCGUCAACGGCAAGCCAUCAACUAGUUUACAGAUUGUCAACUGAAGCCGUUGUCAUACCCGAUUUUUACUUAAGGUCAAAAUGAGUACGACAUUAUGGACUCUAAAAGAAUUAAUUUUUUGCAAAGUCGCCACCUAAUUUUUAAGGAAAAAUAGAAAACUUAUUUAUUUGUUUAACUAGUAUGAAUUUAUUUAAUCUACGAAAUCAUUUUAGAUUCUAGGUAAGGGUCAAAAUUAUUCCGAAGGGAAGGAAUUAGACACCCUUCAGAAUCCACAAAUAUGGUUCCCGACCAGACUUAGGUUUAUUAAACAGAGAAAGAGAAAAAAAAUCAAUGUUUGUAAAUACAAAUAUAAAAUAUGUGUUGAAAUAAUAUAAUGUGUAUGUUGUAGUAAAAUAUAGGGAUAAUACCCACGAAAAUACCUGAACUUUGAUCGAAUUUCCAGUUGAGCAUACUGAACUUUGCGGGGAUCUAUUACCCCCUAGACUUUUUUCUUUUUUGUAUUUUAAAGGCAUAUAUCCAGUUAGUUGGGCGUGUGAUAGUGAUAAAAAUCAUUAUAAAACCUUAUUUUUUGGUCAAAAAUACCCUCAAUUUUUUAAUAAACAAUAAUUUUUAUGAUUUUUAUUUAUUUUUUAUUUAUAUCUUUUUCCUUUUCUUUCUUCUCUUAUCUUUAAUGGUGCUCCUUCCUCUUAUCUCUUCUUUCUUUCUUCUCUUCAAUGGUGCUCUAUUGAUGCUCCAUUGUUGAAUUGAAAUUUGGUCAUCUUCAACACACCCAAUUCAAUUACAUCAAUUUGAACCAAUUUUAAAACACAUACACACACCAAACAGCAAUGGUGGCGCAGCGGAAAGGGGCUGCCCCAAUCUACCCAGAGGUCGAGGGUUCGAUCCUGGGUAUGGACAAACAAUCUGUUGGGAUCUCUCUCUCCCCCCCCCCCCAAAUGGGGCCUGACGUAGGGCGAAUCCGGAUAUAGUCGGACUCCUAAAAAGCGGGUACCAAACAUCGGGUGGUUUAAACCAAAAAAAAAAUACCAAAAUUAACCCACCAUUGCCACCACCAACCAACUUUCAGAAUUAGGAAUUAAGAUUUUGGUGAAAAAAGCUUGUCACCACCAAUCAAAUUUAAAGAAUUAGGAACCAAAAUUUUGAUUAAAAAAAAGCUUGUUUGGGUAUGGAGCUUUAGCUCCAUUCACCAAAGGAAAAUACGGUAUACCUCAAAUGAUUACAGUUGCCAGUCUAUUAAAAAGGAAAAUACGAUUUUGGACUAAAGCAAUGAAAUCGCCGAUUUGGUGAAUUGUUACAAACUCAAAUGAGACUCAAAUCUUUUCCAGGUGAUAUUAUCCACAGUUUUAUUCCCUUGGAGUUUGGAGUGUUUGUUCUGUGAAAAUCUUUUCCAUUUAAUAUUCAUUAUAGAGCUUGUAUGUUUGUGGAAACUGAUGUAAAGAAACUUCAGUGGUCAAGUUUUGAUCUGCUAUGGUUGUUUCAAGAAAAUAAAAGCCAAAUUUAAAGAAUUAGAAAUCAAGAUUUUGGUGAAAAAUGGUGAAAAAUAAUGAAAAUUGAUGAAAAGAAUAAGAAUGGAGAAUAAAUUAAAUAAAAAUUAAUUUUAAAUAAAAAAAUACAUGUGUCAAUAUCAGAUUGACCCGUGUAUUACACUUUCUACUCUAAAACUAGAUAUAGAUUUUUUUUUAGGGGUGGGUGGGUAAUAAUUUCAUUUUUAAAAAGUCUAGGGGUUAAUAGGACCCCCGCAAAGUUCAGUAUGAUCAACUGAAAAUUUGAUUAAAGUUUAGGUAUUUUCGUGGGUAUUAUCCCUAAAAUAUAUAUAAACAAAGUAUAUAAAUAUAGAUGUAAGUACAAAAUUGAAAAAAAAAUAUUUUAAGAAAAGACUAUGUAAUAUUUUAGUGUAAAAGUGUGAAUUAUUUGAUUAAAUAUCUAAAUCAAUUUUAAUAUAAAUAUUAACGGCCUAAAUUGCUUAACGUGUGGUGAGGAUUGCGUAAAUAAACAAUAUCCCGCCCAACACUCUAAAAUAAAAAUUUUACUAUAAUUAAUAUUUGUACAAGUGUAAAAAUAUAAAAAUACAAACAUAAAAAUUAAAGCCUUCUUUAAAUGUCAUUCCCGAUGAGUAUUCCCAAUAACAUGCAUAAACACUUAUAAAUAAAAUGUUAGUAACAAAUAAAUAAUUAUCAAAACUAAUUUAAAAGAUAUGUUCGCAUAAAUAAAUAUAAAAUAUAAUUUUUCAUUGAAAGGGAGGGCUCGGAUAUGAUUUUAGGUACGCUAUGGCUAAGAAGUGAUUGCUCAAUUUAUUAGCCAUCCUAAAUCGCUUGUUAAGAUACCAAUCAUAAAACUUUUGUGUUAUUAUAAAAAUUUCAUCAUCGCCCAAAUUUAUUUAUUUUUAUUACGUAUUUAUAUACGUAAUAUUCGUCUUUUUAUUUGCGGAGGCCUCAAAAAUCGCCAGAGAAUUUCUUCAUUAGUCAUGUGUCUAUUUUUGAUAUAAAAUAAAUAACUUCAAAAUUAACAAUCCGUCUUUUGUAUUGGGAUGGCCUCACAUAUCCGACGGAAAGAUAAUGUCAUUGGCCAAUUAUAUUAUCAGUGUAAUAAAAUGCGGAGAAAAAGAUUCCAGAUCAGCUCCAGACAGUUCAAAACAAUAGCAAACCAAUAGAAAUACAACAAACCAUGAAUCAAGAACCAAGUCACUGGAGUAGAUUUUUUCUAGUCAACGAUCAAUACGAAAUUAGCAAGAUAAUGUAAAAAAGCAAUCUAAGGAGUAACAAACAAUCAACAAUAAUCCAUCGAAAAAUAUCAAAUAAUUGCAAAGAAGAUCGGGAAGCUUGCUUCUAUGGCAAGAGUUGUCAGAGCAUGCUAGAUAUAGCCAGAUCUAUGUGAACCAAAUGGGUAACAUGUGAAAUCAGUUCAAAGCAGUGGUGACCAUUCAUGCCCAAAACAACAAAUAAAAAAUAGAGGGGUAAGGGGAAGGGAACGACGGCGGCGGUGGGGUUGGAGGCUCGCCAGUAUCACCUCCGACGAGCCAGCGAUGGAGCUGUGAAAAGAUGGGGCGGCUGGACUGAUUUAUUCGGCUAGAGACCGAUGUUUGUGGGUCGUUGGGUGACAGAAAAGUGGAGAUCAAGAGAGAAGAGAGAUGUGGUGGUGGUGGUCGCCGGUAGAAAGUUCGCCAGAGAAGACAAUGAAAAUGGAAAGGAUAGAUAGAAGAGAAGAAAGAGGCGGCUGAAGGGAAAUAUAUGUGUGUAUGUGUGGUGUACGUAUUUUUGCCUUUUUAAUAAAGAAAACUCCCACCCUAUUUAUUUAUAAAAAAAAAACACAACCUUUUAUUAACCAUAUAAAAUAUUGAAUCCUUUUGUUCCUCUAACACACGUUAAACCACGGGUUAUUAUCCCAUGGAUUUUUUUAAUAUUUUCAACCAAUAUGAAUAAAGUUAAUCCAAUGGAUAAAAGUCUCAACCCGUUAUCUCAAAUGUCAUCUUUUAAAAAGUUGACAUGAUCUUGACUGAUUGAUUUGUUGCUCUAUAUAUUAAAAUAAUUAAAUCGACACAUAUUUGCAUAUCGUAUUAAAUAACGUACAAAAUAAUAAAUGCCGAUGUAUAAUUAUAGAAAAAUAUAAACAACCAAUAAAGAAUAUAAAUAUCUUGAAAAAAAUAUAUAAUGCUAUAAAUAAUUAAAAUUAUACUAUGCAGUAAAAAAUUACAGUGUUGUGCUGUGUACAUAUGCAAAUGACUAUGCAAAAAUAUUAAAAUAAUAAUAAACUUAUAAAAAUUCUAAAAUUUACAAAAUUAAAAAUAAUUAUCAUUAAAUUAUGUAAAAAUUAAAAUGUGACAAAAAUUGAUGAAAAAUCUUAAAAUAAUGACGAUGAUCAAUAAAUUGUUAAAAAUUAGAAAAAAUGUGUGAAAGUUUAUAUUUUGUGCCAUUUAACGAUCAAGAAGUCUAAAUGCAUUAAUUUCAUGUUUGGAGAGUCAAAAUUGGGUGUCAACAGUCGUCAACUGAGAAAUUUCUGUAUAUUUUUUUUAGAUUCUUUAGGGGCAGUUUUUUCUAUUCCUCACCUCAAACCCUACCCCACGACUUAAAUCACUCUAUAAGUAUUAUUUACUUGUCAUUUAUCAAUUUUUAAACGCUCAAUCUCCUCUCCACUCUCAAGUGAAAAGAAGUUAGGAUUUCUCCCCAAAACUCAUACUUUCAAGGCUAAUAUUUAAGUUGUCUCAAAUUUUAUUCAUAAAAAAAAGUAUGUAGAACGAUCCUUAUACUCACGGGCUUAACUAUGAUGUUUCCAUAAACUUCAAAAUUUUAUUUGGAGAAAAGACAUAUAGUCACCCCUCAAUUUGUCCAACUUUUCUAAAAAAGGCACCUAAACUAUACGGGCGUCCUAUUACCCCACGAAAAUUACAUAUACUGUUUGUAAAUAGGUCAUUUUGACCAAAAUUUUGUAAACACGCGUGAAUAAAAAAAUUAUUGAACCAACAAAUUAAAAAAUACUACGUAUAAUAAAAAGGUUCCCUUUUUUUCAUUUUGUAUUUUAGUAUUUUUUUUUUCUUCCUUUUCUUCCUUCUUCUCCAAAAGAAUAUCCCCAAAACAACCUUAAAAUGGUAAAACAACAACUCCAAAUAACUCAAAACCACAUGUGUUCCCAUCUGUUGCUAUUUAAUCACUCACCUCACUUGUAUAAGAAAAUUUAUUUGUGCCAAAUCAUUUUUGAAGGUCAUAUUUGACUCCAUUUUUACACACAAUUCAAAAGAUUUAUUAUUACUAAAUCUUUCUAUUUGCAUCUAGAAUAUUCUCAUAGAUUCCAAAUUUAUUUUAAAGGAGUAUCAUUAACUAAUGAAGUAAAAUGAAGAUUUUUUAAUUAAAUUUUAGAUAAUAUCUAGGAGGUCUUGGUGCCAUCCCUCAAUUUAGAGAGAUGAAAGUGGAGCUCAUAAAUUUUUUGAUUUUUCGAGUUUGUUGAUAGCUGCAUUGUAAUAUUCAAUACCACUAUCACUAUAUUUUUCUUCAUAAUUGACUUUAAAAUUGCUGCUUCUUCCACUGAUUCCAAAAGAAAAGAACAAGAACGUGUGUGGGAUUUGGGCUGGGAGUAUUGGCUGACGUGAGGGGAAGGGAUUGUGUAAGAGGUCCAGAGGAAAAAUAGUGAAAAGAAUAAGAGAGAGAAAAAAAUAAAAGAGAAAAAUAAAAAAUACAUUUAAAAAUAAAUUAAUACAUGUCAAUCUGUGAUUGGUGUGUGUUUAACAUUUAUUUUUAAAAAGAUGGGACUGAUUUAAAAAGGAUGUAUUAAUAUCAUUUUAAAAUAAUUUAGGGGGAUAAUAGGUUCACCCGCAAAGUUAAAGUUUCUUUUUGAAAAUCUCGGACAAGUUUGAUGAUAUCUUUAUAUCUUUUCUCUUGUAUUUAUAUACAUAUGUUAUGAAUUUUAAAAUUGUUAAAGUGUAUGAAUUAUGAACUCCUUUUUAUGAUGAAAAUCAUGCAUUUAACUAGUGUUGUGGAAUAUUUAUUGAAUGAUGAAAAGGUUGAGUUUUAAACAUGUCUUUAACAAAUUAUAUAUUGUUUAUUUAUGUGGAUUCAAAGGAUGUUUCUUGUAUUUUUAAAUGCUCUUGUUUUCUCAAGGAGAGUAUAUGAAAUUAUGAAAAGAUGACCACCUUUUUGAGUUAUAUAAAUAUCUUUAAAAAAUGUGGUUUUGCCUAAACUUGCUCAUGGAUUUUUGUAAGAGAAUUUUUAUGUGAUAUUUGAAGUAUUAUGGUGGUCAAUGAUAUAUGUUUCGAAAGAAGGGCUAUGGGGAUGAUAUGAUUUUAUACGACUUUCAAGUCUAGAUAUGACGAUACUUUUUAUGGGAUGCUCUUGAAAGAAUAAGAGAUGAACUUUUAUAAGAAUGAAGCAUGAUUUGAAGAGGCUAAAAAUGCGCUUUAAUAGAGUUAGAUGGUUAACCAAGAAGAUGUGAGUUGAUAAGAUUACAACCCAAAAAUUGUGUUCUGCUGAUGCGUGGAUUGACUCAGUCCUGAAUUACGGAUGGUCAAUGUAUAAUUGCCUCAGGCUUUGGUAUACUAAAAUAAAAGGUAGAGAAUACAAUCCUUACAGAAAACUUGGAUUUGGGGGCUUGGUUGAUGAGUUAAAGUCGAACCAUAUACCCCGAGGAUAGUAAAAAGGUCGAGAAUAGCAUCUAGCUCAGAAUUAAAAAAAAGUUGAGUCUAUCUUUUUACGGGAUCGAUUGAAGCUUUUGAAUUAUGCCCAUGUACUUUUAUUUCUAUUUUUGUUAAACUAUUUUUAUAAUGCUCUUAUUUAUUUUGUAUAUAAUAUAUGUUGUUUUGGGGUAAUUCGACAUGCCAAUACAUUUCAAGUAUUGACCGUCUUCGUACGAUUACAUCAUCUCAUAUUGAAGGUUCUGUGGCUCAAUCCAGUGGUCCAUCAUAGCAGUAGAACUAUUUGAAGCAUCAGAGUUGGCGAGCCUCCAUCUUCAAAAAGGAAUUUUAUUUAUAUGUUCAUUACCAGUGGCCUUGUCCCGACCUAGAUAGUUAUUCUUCAGUCAAGGCUUCGUAGACUAAAUUUGAUUAACCUUUUUGUUAUGACUCCAUUGAUGGAAUUAUCUUAUAAGAUAUCUUGAACUUAAUUAUGCUUAUGUUAGUAUGCUAUGAUGUCUCUCGAAACUUCAUGGUUCGGAAUGCCCAUCGCAGUCAGGGCCAGAAAUCAAAUCUUGACAUACUUGGUAUCAAAGCACGGUUCAGAAUCCCAGGGUAUCUAUGAAGUCACGUUGAUUAGAGUCCCUUUUAUGGGUUUGUAGCAUGCCACACUUAUUGGAGGGAGGAUAUGAGGCCUUGAUGAAAUUUUUCUCAUUCUUUCAUUCUCUAGAUCAUGUAAUAGUGUUGUCCAUAUGAAAGUUAUCCAAAUUUCCUCCUUGCUCUAAUUUUUUGGGUUGUGCCUCAUUGUCGAGGUGAUGCAAGUGCAAAAACUUAGAUUCCUAACGAUGUGAUCCCUUCCACUGAGUCAUCAAAAAGUUAGGAAACCGUACGAGUACUUGAAAGGAGUCUAUUAGUGCAUCUAAGUUUAUGGAUUCAAGGUAUACCUCUAUCUUCAUGAAUCAUACGUUUUAGCUUAAGUUAAGAGGCGUAUCUAAUCCCUUUCAAAAACUUCAUUGCAUUCGUCUCACUUAAGGAGAAAGAUAUGUAUUCAAAUGUUGGGAUAGUAUUUACACCCAAGAGGUAUUAUAAAUUGAGGUAUUAUGACUUAUGACUAGUAAAAUGAUCUCAAGGCUAGUGAUACGAAGUCAUACAUUUAGAAGCCAGAAUGAGGGUAAAUUUUGAGUGAAUAAGGCAGUUAUACUCGUGUAACCAUUAAGUAAGUGUUGGGGUGGUAUGUUCUUAUGGUGAUUGGCUAUGAUCAUAGAAAGAAUUGCAGAUUUUAUGGUAGUUAGUAGAGGAAGUGAUUACUUAUGAUGAUUUAAAAUUUAUUUGAAAUAGGAAAGGAGCUCCUGAUGGAUAGUUAUUAUAGUACUAAAAAACCAAUCAUAGGUUUUGAAUAAAAGAAUAGACUGACUAAUAAUUUAUCAAUUUAGACUUUAAUUAUGAAAAUCUUAGGGAAAGGGGGACUCAGUGAUGCAUAGAAUUUUGAAGAUAUUUUAAAGGUAUGCCUAGAUAAGUAGAUGUGAUGUGAGAAAGGAGACUGUGAUACUAGAUCGUAAUGGGUUAUAUUAAGACUAAGUAUGACUAUCCUGAUUAUGUGGUCUUACUACACUGAGAUUCUCUAAUUUUUUUGUCUCGCAGUUGUAAGCUAGUCUAGUAGGUGAAAAGAUGUGUUGUAAAUUUUAAGGUAUAGUAUCAGUGUUGUGAAGAAGAUGUGCUUGUAGGUCGUAGUUAAGUGAAAUAAGAAAUUCAGAUUGAUCAAUUUGUCAUAAAUUUUGAUGGACUAGUACAAUUGUGGGAUAUUUCAUUGGCAAUUCAUGAUUGGUAAUAGAUGUUAUACUUGAACUUUAGAUGUUGAUUGUGGUAAUAAUAAUGUUAGCUCAAGGAUAGUAAUGCGGAUUUACGGGAGUAAAGUACUGCUUGAUUUGUUGUGUGAAAGAGCCUAGGCUGAUAACUUAUGAAAAAUUUGAGUUGGUAAUUGCGUUAUAUAUACAUGAGGACUUAGUGUUGAAACAACGAAUUGUACUUGUAGAUUUAAUAAUAGAGUAUGUCCAUAAGUCUAGGGUAGUGACCUAUGAGAUAAGGGGGUGAUUAUGAACUAAGAAAAAUCUUGAAUUUUCUCAUGGUGGUGAGUUUCAAGGAAGGCCAUGCUAAAUCUAUUAUUAUCUUAGUUAAUUCCUCUUACUUCGAUUUAAGAGGACAUUCUACCAAUGUCUUAUGUAUUCAAAUUGUGCCUAUGCCUAAGGUCCGAGUUCUCUAUACAACUUAUGUCCAUGCUCCAACCUCUAAACUAGAAGCAAUAACGUUUCUCAGCAAUCUGAGCUUCCAAGUGUUCAAGUUUUAUGUUAUGACACUCAUGAUCCGUAAACUCAUAUCUCACUUUAUACUUAGUUCUAAGAAACUAUACUCUCUAUACAUUACCGACUAAUUAUAUGUCAUGUCUUAGCCCAAAGUAAUGUUAUCUAUGCAAACUAAUGACCAUUCUCAGUUCUUAGAUGAGAAACAAUAGCUUCAAGCGAUAAUACUUGUCUUAUUCAUUGAAAAUAUGAAUCUCGACUUUAUGUUAUAUGACUCAUGAUAUAUGCACUCAUGUUCCUCACUAUGCCCAGUUCUAAGAACCUAUGCUAGCUUAUGAUUAUGCCUGACCGUCUACUUAUGAUCUAGGUGUUUACUAUGAAGUAUUUUGUGCCUAGUAUACCAUAUCUCACUUCGCAUGUCUCACCUUAAAUGGUACGAUAAAUAAGAGUCAUAAUUGAGCAGUAUCACCCUCAUUCCUAAUUCUUGUACUCUAGUUUCUCGCUGUCCCUACUUAUGUUAGGAUGAUAGUGGUUAUGGAAGCAUAGUAAUGUUUUAGAUAAGAGAAUAGAUAUUUUUUAGUGUGGCUACUCGGGCUAAGGUUAUAGAUAAAAAAGGGAAGAGUGAGAUGAACUUUUGUUAUAUGAAAUAGUUAGGAAGGGGAGACGUGGUGAAAAUCUUUGUGAUUAUGAUUGAAGUUGCUAAUUUUUGGUGGAGAGAUUCAUAAAGUGGGUGUGGUAAAGAUAUGCUUGAAUGUUGUGAUUGAUACAUACAUAAACUAUGUGGCUAGUACUCCUUGAGUAAGACCUGAGGGUGUUUGAUUAUUGUGAAAAGAUAAAGUAGUAUUUUUGGAGGAGUGUAUAGUAUAAGGUCCCAUAGCUAAGUUAACACCUUUUAACUCCGAAUUAGGUUUCAACAUUGGAGAAAUAUGCAGUUAGACUCAUGCUCUUGUAGUUACGUGUUUCACAAAGAAAUUAUAAUAUAGAAAUGGUGAAGUGUGGUUUUCAUAGCUGAAAGCAUUGUUAGGAAACGUCGCUAAAUUUAAGGGCUAUUAGACGUUUCAUUUGAGGUAGAGAAUGCUUCUAUUCUUAAGUCCCUCAAAAAUUUUAUUUCAUGUCAAGCAUCAAUAUAAAUCAGUAUCAAUGAUUACAAAAUCAGUUUAUGUCUUAUGUUGUUAUGAUCAUAUUCUAUAGAGCUUAUGUCCAAGCUCAUCUAUGUGCCAAGUCUCGUUAACUCGUGAUUAGUGCUUACACAGUUUACUUGGUAUUGUUAUGAAGCUCUUUUUGCCUAUGUAUGUCUUGUUGAUGGAGAAUUCCUAAUUUGAAGUUACAUCCUUUAUUCUAUACUUCUAGAGCUUUAAUAAGUUCCUAUACAUCAUUCAAGGAUGAAAGAUCCCAAGUGGGAGAUAAUGUAACACCCCACAUUUUUGGGUUAAAAUUCGAACAAUCAAUGUAACACCCCACAUUUUUGGGUUAAAAUUCGAACUAUCAUUCUAUGUGUAUGGACCCGAAAAGUGUGAUAAUCAAUUCUAGAGUGUGGUAACAUCUUUGGAGAUGAAAUAAGGUCAUAAAAAUCUCAUAACUCAGAGUUUAGUUGUGAAAUUUUAUGUCGAUUUUUAGUAGACGUUCCUACAUGGGUCAAUUUUCAAUCACCAUUACUCCUAGAAUAAAACUAUUUAGGUAGACUACUAUAUACUAAAUGAUCUUCGAGUCUUCUUUCUAAUGAAUCUGAUUUCAUCUUAAUUUGAUAUCAGAGUACAAAGUUAUGCUCAUUUUCCCUGUGAAUGUAUGUCUGCCAAAGAUUGACAAUGGGAAUUGAUGAGCCGUCAGCUAUUUGAUGGGAUGUCAACGGAAGUCGUCAACCUUAGGUAGUAAAGCUCAAAAUCUGCUAGAAGUUGAUGAUGAGAGUUGACGAGCUGUCAACUGAAGUCAUCCACCUUAACCAGUAAAGACCAAAGAUGGCUAGAGAGUCAUUAAUUCUUUUUACUUUCUUUAGGAUUAUUUUGGUUUUUUCUCACAUCAAAUCCUACCCCACGACUUAAAUCACCUUGUAAGCAUUAUUUACUCAUCGUUUAUCAAAUUUUCAAUGCUCAUUCUCCUCUCCACUCUCAAGAGAAAAUUAAAGAAUUUAGGGUUUCUCCCCAAAACUCAUACUUUCAAGGCUCAGAUUCAAGUUGUCUCAAAUUUUAUUCCUAAGAAAAGGUAUGUAGAACGAUCCUUAUACUCAUGGGCUUAACUAUGAUGUUUCCACAUACUUUAAAAUUGUAUUUAUAUAAAUAUGUUAUGCAUUUUAAAAUUGUUGAAGAGUAUAAUUAUGAACCUCAUUUUAUGAUGAAAAUUAUCAUUUAACUAGUGUUGUGGGAUAUUUAUUGAAUGAUGAAAAGGUUGAGUUUUAAAUACGCCUUUAACAAAUUAUAUAUAGUUUAUUUAUGUGGAUUCAAAGGGUGUUUCUUGUAUUUUUAAAUGCUCUUAUUUUUUCAAGAGUGUAUGAAAUUAUGAAAACAUAACCACCUUUAUGAGUUAUAAAGAUGUCUUUCAAGAGUGGUUUUACCUAAACCCGCUCAUGAAUUUUUGAAAGAGCAUUCGUAUGUGAUAUUUGAAUUAUUAUGGUAGUCAGUAAUAUAUGUUUCGAAAGAAGGGCUAUGGGGAUGCUAUGAUUUUAUAUGGCUUGUAAAUUUAGGUAUGACAAUACCUUUUACGGAAUGUUCUUGAAAGAAUAGGAGAUGAACUUUAAUGAGAAUGAAGCAUGAUUCUAAGAGGCUAAAAAGGGGCUUUAAGAGAGUUAGAUGAUUAACCGAAAAGAUGUGAGUAGAUAAGCUUAUAGUCCAAAAUUAUGUUCUGUCGAUGUGAGAAUUAAUUCAGUUCCGAAAUAAGGAUGGUCAAUGUAUACUUACCUCAGACACUGGUACACUAGAAUAGACUGUAGAGACUCCAAUCGUUGCGGCAAAUUAGAUUUGGGAGCUUGGCCGACAAGUUAAAUUGAAGAAAAAAGUUGAGUCUAUAUUUUUAAGAGAUUGAUUGAAGCUAUUAAAUCAUGCCCGUGUAUUUUGAUUUCUAUUUUUGUUAAAUUAUUUUCAUAAUGCUUUUGUUUAUUGUAUAAAAUAUAUGUUGUUUUUGGGUUGUUUUACAUGUCAAUAUAUUUCAAGUAUUGUCCGUCCUUGGACGGCUAUAUCGUCUCAUAAUGUAGGUUAUGAGGCUCAAUCUCGUGGUCCAUCACAAUAUUAGAACCUUUCGAAGCAUCAGAGUUGGUGAGCCUCCAUCUUCCUUAAGGUGUUUUAUUCAUAUGUUCAUUUCUUUCAGUUUAUGAUCCGACGGGGGUCUUGUCCUGACCUAGACAGUUAUUCUUCAGUAGAGGCUUCGUAGACUAGAUUUGGUUAACGUUUUUGUUAUGACUUUAUUGAUGGAGUUUUCUAAUAAGAUAUCUUGAACUUCAUUACAUCUUCUGCAUUUGAUAUGAAUUGUGCUUAUGCUACUAUGUUAAGGGGUCUCUCAAGUCUUUGGGUUUCGAAAUGCCCGUCGCGAAUAGGACCGUGACUCGAAUAGUGACAUCUAACUUAGCUAAUUUUGAAAGAAUCCAAUAUUGAAUCAUUAUAUUUCUUGUCUAUCACAUUUAGAGGAAGAGUUUUCAAUAUAAAACAAUGAAAAAAUCGCAUAAGUAUACAAUUUAAGAGUCAAUAUUACAAAACAUACCAACAUUAUUUUUUAUUUAUAAAAUAUAAUUUUUAUUUGCAAAAUCUAUCAAACUAUUUUUCUGACCCCUUUCUUACAUUCUUCUCUCUUACAAAAAUAAAAAAAAAUAAAAAAAAAAACACUUCCUUUCCUUUCUCCUCAAAUACCCAAAACCUAAUCCGAAAUUCCAAAUCCAAAUUAAACGUCACUGCAUUUACAAAAAAAUUAGUACAUCAGAUAAAUUUAACAGUUUAUCAUGGAAGCAGCCACCCUUUAAUGCGAAAAAACUUUAGGCAACAUGAACUUGAUCCAAUCAAAGCAUCAACCUUUAGGCAGCGUUGGUUUCUUAGAAGUCUUUUUUAAGUUGUGGGAAGACUUUUUUUUCCCAAAACCAUGUGUUAAUUGUUUUCAGGAACAUCUUUUAAACUCCGAAGAACAUUAAUCAAAAUCAUGGCCUCACUAUCUACUUCCUUAAUUUCACUUUCGGACGAUGCUGGCACUGGCAUUGCCGACUCAGUUACCCAACCAUCCAUAUCAUUCAUAACUUUGAAACUUUUCUUUGAAAUUCUUUCCCCAUCAUUACCAAUUUCAACAACACUGCCACAAGCAUCAUUGUUCUCGUUGGUAUCUCUAAUUGUAUAAAAAUUGGUGUUUCUAUAAUUUUGUGGUGCAUGAAUUGUAUAGAAAUUUGUGUGUUAACAGUUUUAUGGUGUCUGAAAUAUUUAGAAAUUGAUGUAUGAAUAAUAACAUUUUUUUGAACUAUUUAUAAAAUGGUGUUUCAAUAAUAAUAAUUUUAUGGUGUCUGAAAUAUAUAAAAAAUUUUGUUUCAAUAAUUUUAUCGUAUUUAAAAUGUAUAGAAAUAGGUGUAUGAAUAAUUUUAUAGUGUCCGAAAUAUAUAGAAAUUGGUGUAACUGUAUAUUCUGUCUAGAUGUUAACGUUAAAUAAAAUGCUAAAUAAUUUGUUAUAACAUGUUAAAUUACUAAUUGCAUUAAAAAAAAAAGAGUAAAAGAGUAUUACGCUACCACUAUUACGUAAACCCCCGUUCUAAUUAGGGUUUUAUCAUAUAUUCACUAAAAAAAAUUAAAAGGUUAUAUUUAUUGGUGUCUUUUUACAUAUUUUGGAGUGUGUAUGUUAAUUUUAUUGCAAUAAUUUUAAUUUUUUUCCCAAAAUAAUUUUAUUAAUAUAUUAGGAAAAAUUAUUGGAAAGAAUACCAAUUAUUCUUUAUCCAAUUUUGAUAUCUUUAACUUUUUUUUUUUUUUUUUACCUUAUUUCAUAAAUUUUGUUACUUUUCCAUUGGUAUAUUUUGAAAAGUUGAAACCAUUGAUAGAUUUUGUAAUAUUGACUCUUACAUUGUAUAUUUAUGUGAUUUGCCCAUAAACAAUUAUGAGUGGCUAGGGUUUUGAAGAGUUUAAAUAAGAUAGCAGAUUAUAACACAAACUACUUAAUUAUUCCAUUUUUAUGUCUAUAAUAACUAGAUAGCCCGUGCCAUAUUGUUUGUUAUUUGUUUAUUCGCAAUAUUAUCGUACAAAAGAAAUUUAACUUUCAGGAAGGUAACUUCUUAUUUGUUUAAUUGUUUUGAAGAGCUUUCUUGUUGUACAAAUCAAGAAAGCUUUGUACCAUUUUAAUGUUGAUUUUCUGUGACUUGUAAUAAAUACAUAUUCCUUCAAAAAUUUACUAUUAAAGUAUUUAAAUAACAAUAAGACUAAUUGGGUAAUCCAUAUGUAAUAAACCUCAGCCUCAAAAGGUUUGAACUAAUACAUAAACCUACAUAUUCCUUCCUAGAAGAAAAAAAAAAUUAUGGUUAAUAUUAACUUAAAUUAAAGGUGUCAAAUGGGUCGGGUUAGGCCAAACCGGAACCGAACCGUUUAGUUUAACCGGUUGUGGGUUGGUUCCGGUCCGGGUUGGGGUUAGGUGGGCCGGGCCGGCUCCGGGUUAAAAUGUUGAAAACAACUCUGAACCGGCCCACUUAAUCCAACCCGAUUAAACCCACCUAAGCCCGAUUAAAAACCGGUCAAAUCCGGUUUAAAAAAAAUGAAAAAUCCAACAUACACUACAUACACUACAAUAAUAUACACUAUAUACACUUCAAUACACACUAUAUACACUACAAUUAUACAGUAUAUAUUUUUUAAAAUAUAUAUAAAUAAUUACACAUAUAUACGUAUCAUUCAAUAUAUAAUUAUAUAUGACUAUACGUACUACUUUAAAUAAAACAUAUACUACAAAUCUACAAUAGUACAAUAUAUAUAUAUACACUACAAUAUAUAUAUAUAGUUAUAUACUAAUUUAUAAAACAUAUACACAUUUAUACGUUAAAUAUAUACGCUUAUAGAAGAUAUAUACACAUAUAUACACACCAUUCAAUAUAUAUUUACUGCUUUAAAUAAAAUAUAUACUACAAUAUACAUAUAUAUAUACAACAAUAUGCAUAUAGAUAUAAUUACAGACUAAUUUAAAGAACAUAUACACUUGUAUACGUUAAAGAUAUACGUCUAUAGAAGAUAUAUACACAUAUGUACGCACCAUUCAAUAUAUAUGUACUACUUCAAAUAAAGUAUAUACUACAAUAUAUAUAUAAAUNNNNNNNNNNNNNNNNNNNNNNNNNNNNNNNNNNNNNNNNNNNNNNNNNNNNNNNNNNNNNNNNNNNNNNNNNNNNNNNNNNNNNNNNNNNNNNNNNNNNNNNNNNNNNNNNNNNNNNNNNNNNNNNNNNNNNNNNNNNNNNNNNNNNNNNNNNNNNNNNNNNNNNNNNNNNNNNNNNNNNNNNNNNNNNNNNNNNNNNNNNNNNNNNNNNNNNNNNNNNNNNNNNNNNNNNNNNNNNNNNNNNNNNNNNNNNNNNNNNNNNNNNNNNNNNNNNNNNNNNNNNNNNNNNNNNNNNNNNNNNNNNNNNNNNNNNNNNNNNNNNNNNNNNNNNNNNNNNNNNNNNNNNNNNNNNNNNNNNNNNNNNNNNNNNNNNNNNNNNNNNNNNNNNNNNNNNNNNNNNNNNNNNNNNNNNNNNNNNNNNNNNNNNNNNNNNNNNNNNNNNNNNNNNNNNNNNNNNNNNNNNNNNNNNNNNNNNNNNNNNNNNNNNNNNNNNNNNNNNNNNNNNNNNNNNNNNNNNNNNNNNNNNNNNNNNNNNNNNNNNNNNNNNNNNNNNNNNNNNNNNNNNNNNNNNNNNNNNNNNNNNNNNNNNNNNNNNNNNNNNNNNNNNNNNNNNNNNNNNNNNNNNNNNNNNNNNNNNNNNNNNNNNNNNNNNNNNNNNNNNNNNNNNNNNNNNNNNNNNNNNNNNNNNNNNNNNNNNNNNNNNNNNNNNNNNNNNNNNNNNNNNNNNNNNNNNNNNNNNNNNNNNNNNNNNNNNNNNNNNNNNNNNNNNNNNNNNNNNNNNNNNNNNNNNNNNNNNNNNNNNNNNNNNNNNNNNNNNNNNNNNNNNNNNNNNNNNNNNNNNNNNNNNNNNNNNNNNNNNNNNNNNNNNNNNNNNNNNNNNNNNNNNNNNNNNNNNNNNNNNNNNNNNNNNNNNNNNNNNNNNNNNNNNNNNNNNNNNNNNNNNNNNNNNNNNNNNNNNNNNNNNNNNNNNNNNNNNNNNNNNNNNNNNNNNNNNNNNNNNNNNNNNNNNNNNNNNNNNNNNNNNNNNNNNNNNNNNNNNNNNNNNNNNNNNNNNNNNNNNNNNNNNNNNNNNNNNNNNNNNNNNNNNNNNCAACGGUUGACAUUGAAACGUUCAAGAUAUCUCUAGCUAAUCUUGAAAGCACAGGAUAUUGGGAUUCAUUAUUCCUCCACCAAUCCAACGUGUUGAUCCGUCGUCUGCGAUCCUUUGGCGGCGACCGAAGAUAAUACUUAAGCUCUUUCCGAUAAGUUGAUAUGUAAGCUCCCUCGUCAAUACUGUUCCAACAGGGUAAAUCAUAAAAGGAAUCAGGAAAAUCAUAAUGUGCCUGCCUUUUAGAAAAUGACGGCACCUCAGGAGGAUGAGGAGUGACAGUUGGACUGAUAUGUGUCGGUACAGCUAAAUCAACUAAAUCAGCAUAGUGGUUAUAUAAUUUAUCUAUGUAAGCAUUCGCAUCAGACGUAGCCGUCUACAAAUCAGGUUGUGCUUGUUCAGAAUCAUUGUUAGUAUUUAUUUCUAAGUUAUGAUAAAUAAGAAUACUAAAGUGGCACAUAGUAUGGUAUUUAAUGGACGGAUUUAGCAUAGCACCAACCAAGAAAAUAGGGGGAAUCGGAAAAAAAUAUUUUUAAAAUUUAGUAAACAUGGCACCAAUAACAUUUUCAUAACCUUCUUUAUUUUUAUAUUCUUUGAGAAAACCAAAAAUAUUGGUUAUAUAUCCCACAAUAUUACAAACCGCAGGAUAAUAAGCACCGAAAAAUUCAACCGUAGCUAAAUAAAUUUUUUUCAAAAACUUAACAAGAUCAUUAAUUACAACCCAAUCAGAAUCAAGUAGCAUGCAAUCGGCAGAAUCAGCAAAUGAACCACAAUGUUGGUUAAAAGCUAAUGUAAUAGGAACUCUAUAUUUAUAACAAGUUUUUAAAAAAUCAUACGUAUAAUUCCAUCUAAUAUCAAUUUCCUCAUGCAUCAAUAUCGGUGCAAGUCCAUUUUCUUGACAUUUAACUUUAAAUUCUUUAAUUCCCGAUCUAUGAUUAUUUUCUUGUAUAAAACCAGCAGCAAGACGGAUUUUUUCAAUAUAAAUCUCAAAAAACUCAAAACCAUCUUUUACAAUUAAAUUAUAUAUAUGACAUGCACACUUAAUAUGAAAAAUUUCAGGUAACGGCGGUGAUAGCUUAGAUUUCAACUUUGUUAUAGCAGUCUUGUUGUUAGAAGCGUUAUCAAAAGCGGUACAUAAGAUUUUAUUUUCGAUACCAUAAAAUGAUGCAACUUUAUGUAUCGAGUCAACAAUAAAUUGUCCAGUAUGUUUACGAUAUUCAUCAUAUAAAAAAGCAAGAAUACAUUUUUGCAUCACAAAAUUACUAUCCAUCCAGUGACAAGGAACGGUUAAAUAAUCAUUUUUAUUUACAGCACGACCAAGAUCAGAAGUUAGGGAUAUUCUACAUUGAAUAUUUUUUAACAAUGUAGAUAAAUAAAAAUAAUAUUGUGAAUGAAGUCUAAAAAUAUCAGACCGACAAGUACUUCUAGGAAUACCAUUAAACAUAGGAUUAUAAAUUGCUUGAAUAUAAUGAAUAAAAGCAUCAAAAGAAGGAAAACUAAAAGGCAAACAAUCUACAACUACCAUUUUUGCUAUUUCUUCUCGGUCCCUCAGUUUAUUAUACUUCUUCAUUACGUGAUCGGUUGUUGGGUCCAUUCUAGUUUGUGUGGGCCUACCAACAGCCUCACCAUUUUGUGCAAUUUUUAACUCUCUUUCGUGGUCUUCAGCUAAAUGUCUCAUUAACGUACUUGUACCCCCUUGCUUGCCUCCUCUUUUAUGCUUAUAUAUUUUUUGACAAAUAUUGCAUUGCACCUCAGUGUCUGAUAUACGUUCAAAAAAUUUCCAUGCAACACUAGUUUGUUUACGAGCUCUUGGGGAACGGGGAGGACUAGUUUGUUUACGAGCUCUUGGGGAACGGGGAGGACGGGAAGAGAGAUUAACCGAUUCGGAUCUAACAUUAACAUUUCCUACUUCGGGUGUCUCACUAAUAUUUUCAUCAUCUUCAUCUAAAUCAACCGCAUCUACUUCAUUUUCUUCUUCUAUACCGUAAUUUUUCUGAACUUCUAAAUAAUCCAUAUCGUGAGCACCUACACCUGUUUCUUCCUCAAAAGGUUGACUAAGUGGUACCGGAGGCGAAGACACACGGGUAUAUCUAGUACUUGAAGUACNNNNNNNNNNNNNNNNNNNNNNNNNNNNNNNNNNNNNNNNNNNNNNNNNNNNNNNNNNNNNNNNNNNNNNNNNNNNNNNNNNNNNNNNNNNNNNNNNNNNNNNNNNNNNNNNNNNNNNNNNNNNNNNNNNNNNNNNNNNNNNNNNNNNNNNNNNNNNNNNNNNNNNNNNNNNNNNNNNNNNNNNNNNNNNNNNNNNNNNNNNNNNNNNNNNNNNNNNNNNNNNNNNNNNNNNNNNNNNNNNNNNNNNNNNNAAAAUUAAAGUGAGUACUUUAGAAAUUAAAUAUAUAGAAUAUUUGAGAAUUGAGAAAUGAGAUUUGAGUGAGAAUGAGAUUUGAGACUUGAGAGGAUGAAAAAUUGUGUGAAAAAUGAUUUGAAAGUGUAGGGUAUUUAUAGAAAUUUUUUUGGGAUUAAAAAAUGAUUUUAAAUAAAAAUAAAUCUUUUUUUUUUAUAUUUGGGCCCAAACUAGCCGUUAUAGCCGUUGGACCAAUGGCUUGUUUGGCCCAAUUUUCCAAAAUCUUAAAAAAAAAUAAAAAAAAUUAAAUGGGCUUAUUUGGGCCGGGCCGAGCCGGUUAACCGGCGGGCCCUAACCAGGUUGAGUCCUGUCUGGGUUAACUAGGCCCAAAUUCAAAACCCAACCGGACCGGGACCCGGGCCCUUAAAGCCCUUGGGCUUACCGGGCUGGGUCAAACCGGUCCGGUUUCCUUUAGUGGACUGGUUCGGGCCAGUUAAAACCGGCCCGUUUGACACCCUUAACUAAAAUUCAGGACCUUCUUACUUUUAAUUCCUCAUUUCUGCCUAGACAUAUAAGAGUUUGACCAAAGAUGUGCAUAUCUUUUAACCUAGAUUCACCAUGACCAAGGACCUCCAAUGAAUUCAUUCGUGCAGCAGGAGCAUAAUCAUAGUCUCUAUCAUCACCACUACCUCUCUCUACAUAUGCUGCUGGAGUAUAGUCGUAAUGUGGACUUGUUUAGACACGUUUGGAAGUAUGUUAUGUUACAAGAAGAAUGUGCACAACCAUAUACUGGGCUGCCACGUCAAAAAUUCACUUUAAAUGUAAUCAUAUUAUUCUUUGUAUAUCCUGGUAGAUAUAGAAUCAUACGAACAUGACUUAAGUUGUUUAGAUUCUGCAAAAAUGAUACUGUAUUCAUGUUAAAUUUUUUAAAAUUGUACUAUUUUUAGAGAAUUAGACACACGUCUAAUGAUACUUUUAACGAAUCCAACCAACAUAGAAGACAUCUUCUUUUGAGAUCCAAUUAUCUUGAAAAUGGUAGACAUUCGAUAUGAUCAUCUUGGAAUAUAGAAAUAUUAGAUAGACAAGUGUAUGGUUCUAAAGUUGUGUUUUCUAUUUUAAGGCCUAAUUUCCCUCUACUCCAACAAUCCAACUUCUCCAUCCUCUCCUAUAUAUAUAGAUGAGUGAUUGUCCUAAAAUUUAUUAAUUAGGGUCAUAUACAUCUUCUGCAACAUAUAUAUUUUUAAAAGUAAAUGCACCUUCAUAAUAUUAUUAUUUUUUUCUCCAUCAACUUAUAUUUCUUUGUAUACAUGUUUUAAUUAAUCAUCAACUUUUUAGUUUUAUGUUUUACAGGAUGAUGAUGGGUUCAAGAUCACUUCAACUUUUUAUCUUGUUUGUUUGUUCUUUGACCAUCACCGCAAUUGAAUGCUCAGAAUGUUCAGAAGUAAAAAAACAAAACCCAAAUCUUUAUAAUAUAACGAGAACAAUAGUUCAUAGCGCCUUGUCAAAAGGAGCAGGUUAAUUAAUUAUUAAUAUCUUUAUUUAUAUGUAAAAAUAAUUUCAUAUUUGAUGAGAUAUAUAUUCCAAGAAUAAAUUUGAUAUUAGAUUUACAUUAUAUAUAUUUAAAUUUAACAUUAUUUAUUUGGCAGUGUGCUUGGAUGGAUCACCUCCAGCAUACUAUUUUGAUCCAGGAUUUGGAGAUGGAGUUGAUAAUUGGAUUGUCCAAAUUUCUGUAAGCAGGCUAUAACAUAUGUUUAAUUCUAUUAAUAGAGUAAAAAUAUAGAUAUGUAUUCUUUUACGUUUUAAAAAGAAUCAUCUAUUUUUCUUUUUAAUUUAUUUUAGAAAAUGAUCCUUUUCUUUUUGACAACACUUUGAUAUCAACUUUUCACGCAGUGUGUUUAAGACCACAAGAUUAAAAGACAUUUUGAACGUUUGACAUAACUUUAAUUUAAGAUCACAAAAUUUAAAAACUUUCUUUAUUUUUCUUAAAUUUUUUGUCAAAUUAAAAUAGGUCAUUCUUUUGGAAACAAGAGGAGUAUAUUGUUGUUUCAAAAAAUAUGUUCUCCCCUUUUCAAAAAGAAUGAUAUACACUUUUUUUUUAGUUCGUUUGAAAAAUAAUGACAUCUUUAAGAUCACAGGAUUAAAAGAUAUUUUAAUACAUACAUUUGACAUAACUUCAGUUUAAACCUACAAGAUUCAAUAGUCUUCAAUCUUUAUUUUUUAAAAUUUCGUAUCAAGUUAAAACAGGUCAUUUCUUUUAAAACGAAGAAAAUAUAUUAUUGUUUCAAAAUAUUUAUUAAACAACUUUGUUCAUAGGGAGGAGCAUGGUGUGUAAACGUCACAGACUGCAUAGGACGUACCAAGACACAACUUGGUUCAUCAAAAUAUAUGGAUAAACUAGAAUUUCAAGGAAUUCACAGCAAAAAUAAGAGUGCAAAUCCAGGUAUUUUUUGGAUUAAUAUAUCCUGAAAUUUUGACGAGUAUUUUAAGAAUUUAAGGAUAAUUAAUCCUAUUUAUGAUCAUUUUUAUGUAAAAUAUGCAGAUUUUUACAAUUGGAACAAAGUCAUUCUUGCAUAUUGUGAUGGUGGAUCGUUCGUAGGAGAUGUUGAAUAUGUUGAUUCAGUAUGUUUUUUAUUCAAAGAUAUAAUUUUCAAUUUCACUUUAAAAUAUUUGCUUUUAAUUGUUGCAAGUAAAUUAUCACUACCUUAUAUUUUUCUUUGUUUAGGCUACCAAUCUUCAUUUUAGAGGGAAAAGGAUCUUUUAUGCAAUAUUAGAGGAGUUGCUAGAAAAGGGAUUAAAGAACGCCAAAAAUGUAUGUGACUAUCUCAUUUAGUUCUGUAUUUAUAUAAAUAUGUAACACCUUAAUUUAAUAUUAUUAUCGCGAUUUUUAUUUUAUAAAAAAAAUUAUUUAUGUACCUCAAUAUUUAUUUUGCUAUUACAGGCCCUCUUAGCUGGUGGUUCUGCCGGAGGAUAUCCAGCAGUAUUAUACUGCGAUAACUUUCGCGAUUCAUUGCCAAGUGCCGCUCGAGUUAAAUGUCUCAAUGAUUGUGGCUACUUUCCUCAUUUGUAAGACUUUAAUUUAAAUCAGACUUUUGAAGCUAUUGUAUUUAAAUAUUAUUUAAUAAAUAAAAAUGAAUCUAUCUAUCUAUCUAUCUAUCUAUCUAUCUAUCUAUAUAUAUAUGUAUAUAUAUAUAUANNNNNNNNNNNNNNNNNNNNNNNNNNNNNNNNNNNNNNNNNNNNNNNNNNNNNNAUUAUAUCUAUAUAUAUAUAUAUAUAUAUAUAUAUAUAUAUAUAUAUAUAUAUAUAUAUAUAUAUAUAUAUUUCAUCCAUUCUAUUAUAUUUUAUCCAUUCUAACUUUGAAUAUAUAUUUAUCUUUCUCAUAACAGCAAGAAUCCUGAACUCGAAAAAAAUUGGCACGUCAGAUUUUCAGGAGUUGCCGAAUUACAAGUAUAUUCUUGUCCCUUUCUUACAAGCUAAGUGCUAAAUAAAUUAUUUUUGUUGGAUUCGAAAUCGAUUAGGCGUCAUGCAUGCGAAAAUUAAUGUAUAGUGUAAUAAGGAAUUCUAGAAAAGAAGAUUGAGACUCUCUCCACGGUCCCACGAAGAUCUCUACAUACUUAUUCAGGACAAGUGAAAUCUUUGAUCUGCGUAUCUAGGAGUAACUCAAACAAAGAAGAGUGCGACAGAUCGAUUAGCUCCGAUGAUUGAGGGAGAAUAUAUGUAAGAGAUGAUUUACAGACAAAAGUAUUCAAUUAUUUGAAAAAAAAUCAAUAUACUUCUCAAUAAUGCAUUCGGUCAAACUUUUUUUUGGUGUCAAGGUAUUAGUAUAUAUUUCCUAAUACAUCUACUCCUAAAUAAUAAUUUAUAUUCUAAAUUAAUAGAGAUUAUUGUUUCCUAAAACCUCUUUAAACAUGUGAGUUGCAGGGAGCUGCCCAAUCAUUACCUAAAUCAUGCACUUCAAAAAUGAAACCAGAAUUGGUAUAAACUUUUAAUUCCUUAUUUAAUUUAUAUAUAUAUAAGUUAAAUACUUUUUUCUUGAAUGUUUUGUAAUCUUCCAAUUUGCUGCAGUGCCUCUAUUCACAGAAUAUUCAACAAGAUAUCAAGACACCUCUUUUUAUUUUCAUGUCAGCAUAUGAUAAUGUUGAGGUCGGUAAUUCAUAUUAUUAUUACUAUAUUUUUCAUCCUUUUUAUUUUCUCUAGUGUAAAAUCUAAUUUUGUGAUACUUCCACCGUUCAAAAUUAUUUGUCCAUCUUUUUUACUUGGCACACCCAUCAAGUAAAUAAUAGUAAUUGUUAUAUUGACUUUGCAUAUUACCCCUAUUAAUUGGUAGUAAUUGAAAUUUCAAAAAGUCUUUGUCAAUAAAUUGAAGGAUAAAACUAGAAAAAAAAUUAUUUUUCUUAGUGUAUAAAAAAUAUUAAGUAAAAGCGGAAAUAAAAAAUAGAAAUAAGUGAAAAAUAACUUUGAAAUUUCAAAAGUUUUUUUCACAAACAAAGUCUAUUUAAUAAGAUUAACUUUUAAGUAACAUUUAGGGAUCAUUUGGUGUGAGUUAUAAGGGAUAAGUAGUUUUGAAAUAAAAUGAAAAAUUAUUUUAUCUCAUGUUUAGUGUGUGAUAUUAGUUAGUAUCGAAAUUAUUUAUCCCAUCAUUUAUAUCAUAAUGAUUAAAUAAAUUAUUCCACAUAUAUGAAAGAAUAAUUAAUCUCAAAAUAACUAAUCUCAAAAUGAAUUAUUACAAAAUAAUUCUUUCCCAACGAAACGACCCUUACUAAAUUAAUGCUCCUCCUAAAUGAACUGUAUUUUUGCAGACAAAAUAUACAUUUGGAGAUUAUAUGGGUGGCCUCAUUGACGGUGGAAAAUGCUCAGCAAGUCAGAAUCAAAGCCUGAUAGGUUAGUAUACACAUGACCUACACAAAAAUUGACUUUAGUAGGUGUUUGGUAUAGAUUUCUUGAUCCGACAUCGUUCAAAAACAAUCACUUUACCUUUUUGAGGUAGUGAUAAAGAUCUAUGUCGUAUCUUUUAUCCUUUCAGAUCUCAUUUUUGAGGUUUUAGUGGGUAUAUAUUAUUAUUAUUGUUUUAUUAGAAGUUUAUAGAAAUGUGUUUGAUUAUACUUUUUACAAAAAAAUAUUUGGAACAAUAUCCGUGCUUGAAUGUAUUUUUAUACAAUUUAAAAAGUGAAAAAAUGAGGUAGAGAAAAUAGUUUAUAGCUAAUUGUUUUCGAUAUUUAUGAUACAACUUCAAGUUGAAUCUAAUAUUUUCAUAACUAAACAUUGAUUUUUAAAUUAAGUUAAAAUUAUUUCGGAAAAAAAUAAUACACCCUCUCAACUAUGUUAUACAGUUCAAGUUACACGAAUUUUUCACUUUCGAUGUCGCCAUUUAUGUUGGAUUCUUUAAUAAUACACGGACUCCUCGCAUUCGUGUUGAAUUCUUUAGAAAUAUAAUAAAUUUGACGAAUUCAACACACGCUGUUGAUAUGAUUAAAGAGUGCAAGCAACAUAAUAUAUAGUAAUAUUUCUAAUAUUUUUGGAUUUGACAUUUCAGAAAUGAGGUCAGAAUUCUUAAAUGCAUUACCCAAAGGAGAUAAUCCAAACUUAAGAGGAGUUUUUGUAGACUCAGUACAUCAUCAUAAUAGCCUUCUGCGGAGGUGGAUUCCUGAAACUGCCAUUAACGUAAAUGGUCAGGUAAGAUAUUAUUUAUUUAUUUAUAUUUGAAAAUAAAAUUUAUAAACUUAAAGUAAAGUGGUCAAAAAUAUUUUUAAUCUUUGCCAAAUACCUUUAAAAAUAAAUAAAAAAAUAUUUAUAAUCCAAAAACACUUAUAAAUAAGUUAAUUCAAGCACCAUUUAAAAAGCACUUGUUAAAAGAGAAAAACUUCUCAAAAUAAGCUGAUUUAUAAGUUCAUCCAAACAAAUUAUCAAUGAGUAAAUUACUAUUUUGACAGCGAGGCUUGCUAACUAUUUUGUUUUCCACUUUUGUUUGUUUGUGCAGCUUCACACAAAGGUAUUUGCUGAUUGGUACUUUGAUCGAAAAUACACCUAUUUGAUUGAUGAAACUAAUGAGUUGCCACUCACAAAUAAUGCUCGACUCAUAUGGCAAGUUGACAAUACAACUGGUCGAGUCAUAUAUACAGCAUAAACUUAUGUCUGUUUAAUUCCAAGAAAG